rnacentral:lncRNA from 1 species
UUCACAUAAGGUGAGUUCAUACCCCUACAUUUUCAUGUUUUCUUCAAGUUUUAAGGGGGGGAAUACAAGUUAGAACACUAAACAUAACUUAAAUUUAAAUGAUAGCUUUCUACAGAAAAGUUGAGUCCUGUUCACGGACUGUUUUGACCAUCUUAAACUUAAUAUCUUUCAAAACUGUACAAUAUUCAAAUAGUUCAACUUUAUAACUUUCUAAGGACUACACGCACACACUCAUAUAAUUUUUCUACAAUUUAUGGCGAUAUUUAGAAAACCGCCUGUCAUUUCAGAAGUGAUUUCGGACUAGUGUGUGAAGAUGUUCAUUUCCACACUAGUUUGAGACCACUAAAAAUCAUAAUAAAAAUGAGGAACAAAGUAGACUCAUUUUAUAAACUCUCAGAUGUGACGGAUUCAGUUUUUGACUUACGAUGAUUUUUCUAUGAGAUUUCUAAAAACAGGGACAGUAAAGGGUAAAACUGUCAAAAGUGGUUUAUAGAUUUAUUAACACCUUCUAACAUUUUUGAGCAAUGUUUAUACAUUAAGGAAGUUAAAACACAAUCAUUUAAAUAUGUUUAAUUACCAUUUUUACAAAAGUGAUAAGUACAAAAAGGUCUUUAGUAUCAAACUUAAGGAUUAUUUCAUGCAAAGUUUCUAAUAAAAACGUAAGAAUAUGAACAACAAUUACGAGACAUACCAAAUCAUCUUUUAAAAUUUAUACAUAUAUAUAUCCAUAUACAUAUAUAUGUUUUGUUUACAAACUUGUCUUCUACAUCAAAAAUAUACAUAUAUAGUUUACGAAACUCUACUCCAUUUGUAUCCUGUUGAGCAAAGGGUAAAAUAUUGUCAAAUGCAUAUCUAAAGAUUUCACGUCGUUUUUCAUAGCUAUCCCAGUCUUAGGGGAUGAUCAUUUAUACAAACAUUUUCAACACAAAAACACGUAAACUCGUUGAAAAAAUUUAGUGAGUUUUGUCUUCACGGUACCUUAUAAAGUACACACGAAAGUCCUGUUAAAUAUAACCAGAGUCUCUUGUAGGGAGAGCGUGAUAGUUGUGUAUAGAUCUAUACUGGGACCGACAAUCCUGCACUUUUGCUGCUUGCAACAGCUAAACCGGCAGGUCUGGGUGUGACAAAUGUCAUAACGAAAUCGACACCUGAAGAACGUUGCGAACAAGGCAGUCUGGGUCAAUCAAGCAUGGUUAUAAGAUAAAAAUUAAAACUCACAUAAAACAACAACGACACUUUUAGUUUACGCAAAGACAGUCUUCAAACAACUUUAUAUACAAACAAAACUGCAUAACAUCAUUUUAAGUAGGAAAAUUACUUAUACGCUUCGGUCUUGGUUCAUUUAAGGCCGCAUUUCAGUUUAGGGAAAAUAUAGGAUUUUCCGGAAAACAAACAUUUCUACAUUUCAUAGAAAAGGUUUACAAAUAUACAUACAAAUGCUUAUGAACUCACCAACUUAAAUGUUGAUACUCUCUUUUCAAAUAACUUGUAUUCUCAGGAAAUCAGUAAAUAAGGUAACAACUGGCGUUGAGGAUGGGACGCUUAGGCGUCUAAACAAAUCUUUUGACAACAUAUUGUAAUUGGUAUUUUGAAACAUGUAAUACGUACAAAUGAUGUAACUUUUUUAGUUAUAUAUAUGUUGGUUGUGUUUGCUUUGAACAUUUAUACUCAAUUGUUAUGAUACACUAUAUGAUAAUCUCCCGCCCCUAGACGUUUCCGCCAUCCUGGUUUGGGGUGUGACAAAUUGGUAUCAUAGCAUUGUUUAUAGUGAGCUAAGUAUAUCAAACCAUAUAUGAUAUACAAACUAUAAAUACAUAAGGACUAAAACUCUUUGACUUAACAAUUUCAAAACAGGAACAUUAGGGGUCCUUUGCUGGUAAGUCUAUGUUUGCUAAGUGGAUACGUUAAGGUGGUAUAUACUAAAGGUUUUAUAGACUUAGAAUUUGUGAUUUUCACUUUACUUCCUUUUCCUUGUUUGGAUGUGGAUAUAAGUUAAGAUCACUUACUCGACUGACUAUUUAAUCUUGACUGUAUAUGACCAUUAUACACAAGCAACCAUAGAAGGAACAGGAAUGGACCGAGAUUUCAUGAAAAAUGUAAGUGCAUACAAACAUACUAGUAAGGAGUCAUAUUGGUAACAAAACAAAAAGUAUUUAGAUAAGUUAAACACUUCGAGUAAGCCUCGGGGUAUGUAAUCAUGUCUGGGAUGAAUAUAGCCUGAUCAACUAUAUUUAUCCAAGAGGUGACCAACGUAUGCCGAGGAAUGGUCGUAGUUGAUGACGAGUCUAAAACUUACCAACAAACCAUGCAAAGAAAUCUUUAACAUACAAAUUUAAAAUACUAUAGGAGUAUUUUGCGUUACUAUAGAACCACACACUUAGAUUCUUCAUAUACUUCUUACCCCUAUUCUCGCAUAGGCAUAUCAGCUAGACUUCAUCUCCACAUAGACCCCUACUAUCCUGCCACCGCAGCCAACAGAUGGAUCAAGAAGGAUCCAGAAGAACAUUCCGGAGAGUACCAAUAGAUGUAAUACGAGGAAGAAGAUUUCUGAGAAGGGACCAGAUGGAGAAAGAAGUUCGGGAGAUACCAUCAAUAAACCUUACCCUAUCAAGAGGAGUGUAAGAACCUCCACCUCUUAUUUUAGAAAGCAACCCGCAAUUGACUACCUAGCCACCCAUAUAUACUGGAGAGGAAAGCCGACGAUCCACAACCGACAUAAACUCACUACACCGUACUUUGGGCCAUAGCACCCACAUACCGGCGAGCAGAUCAAGAGAACAAUACGAAUCACCUACACUCCUUAGAAAAGGAGAUAGCAUUUAUAGGACAAAGAACCCUUACAGCUACAACCAGGACAAUCAUCACAGAACAGAGAACAUAGGAGGCCACUCGCGAAAUAGGUAAAAUGGAAGAGCACCUUGUACAUCACUUUAGUAUAUGUCAGACUAGUAUAGCCUAGUGAGUUAGUGACUACACUACUCACACUAUGUGUUAGACUAAAUGCAGUUUUCAUCAUAUCUGGUAGUUGAAAUUCAAGUGAAGUAAAAUCCCCUAGAAACCCACGAAACACGAACCAAAUUAAGGUUUUUAUAACCUAUUGACCCAUGUUCAAAUCCUGGUACUACUCAGCCCUUGUGGCCAUGGAGGUUUGCCUGCAAUGACUCCAGGGCAUGAGACAAAGUCUCAUGUUUGCAGCGGGGGAUUAGUCGGUGCGCGUAAGCUGGCCCGGAAACCCUCGUUAGGGAAGUUCCCUUUCCAAAAAAUUUAAGGUUUUUAUAUCUAUGUUCUGUCUAAAUAACUUAACAUUUGUAUAAUACUUACUACUACUCACUACCAUAAGUAUGUCACAUGGGUGUUGGCUGAAAAACAUUAACAGUCGCACAACAAAACAUGAAAUUUAUGUGUACAUAUAAAUAUAGAUGGAAUACAACUAACAAUAUCUAUAGUUACUUACGAAACUAUUUCACACCUUGCAAUAGAAUCAUGCCGACACAUGAAGGUAAUCAGCAUAGCGGCGCAACACUAGUUCUACAAAUGGACUCUGCAACAUUUCAAAUUACGGUAAUAGCCGCCGUGACAGCAGUCAUGUCACACCUCGAUGCUAACAACACAAACAAAAGCGGGAAUGGCGCCGCAAGUUCCAAUCGUAAUAAAAAACAGGGACACCCUCGAGUAUGUUCCUGCAAGGACGCCCCAACUUACAAACCUGAGAACGUCCACGACAAUGAAGGAGUACUACCCAAGAAACGAAAGUUCUGGACCAGGAGAAAGAGCCGUCCGAAUCAAGGACCUACCAAAAGACAACAAACAGUGAUAGUUUAUAUCACCACCAUCCCUACUACCUCAGUGCCAACAAGACCAUAUGUUGGAAACUUGCCAAAAUGCACCAAGUGUAGCUUUCAUCACAAAGGGAAGUGUAGGGAAAUGCACUGCAAGAAAUGUAACAAAAAGGGGCAUACCACAAAUUUCUGUAGGGCGCCGGCUCAACAGGCCGCCGAAGACAUAAAAGUUGGGAUGAGUCGGACUUGCUAUAGAUGUGGAGAAGUAGGGCAUUUCAUAAAGGAGUGCCCAAAGAAUAAAAACAAAUAUUUCAGGAGCGUCGGAAGUGUUUCAGCAACAGAGCGUGGGAAAGCAAUAAUAGACCCCGCUGAGAUUCCGGUACGUUCAUUAUCGAAAGCACAUAUGCAUGUAUACUAUAUAAUAGCAAUGCGGAGAGGAGUAUUGUGAGUCGUAGAUUUAAUAAAUUUCUCAACCAAAAACCUCAAACACUUAAACGAAAUAUGUACAGUAGAAUUGGAAUAAUCAAAACACUAGAUACAUGUACAUAUGGUGCACUCUAACACUAAAUCAACCAAUUCGUUUAAAUCAUCCUAAAACCGGUCACAAUAAAAAGUUACGGCGUUUUCAUUUUAACAACGCAUUAGUUAGUUUCCUCACCAUAUCAAUAUCAUAUAUUAGGAAAGGUCGUUCGCCUAAACCCAUCGAGUAACAAAACCCUCAUCUUCUAUGGCGACAAACCGGACACAAACCCUAGACACACCUUUUACAUCAAGACUCAGAAGUACCUACUAAGGAGGUACUACGCCGUCCUAGCCCGCACUGUGGAUAAGAAACAAGAAGAGAAAGACAUCAGUGAUGUUCCAAAAGCCCGUAAACUUCCCGAUAUAUUCCCAGAAGAUCUCCUGGGAAUACCAUCCGUACAGCAACUCGAGUACAAAAAUCGACUUAAAUGCAGUAGCUGUGGAAAAUGGUUGUUGUAAAUUCCAUCUCACCCAAGUUCACCCCACUCAAGUAGAGACUAUGGACCCAUACUAGUGAAUCUAUGAUUACUAAGUGUACAUAUUGGAACCCUAUAUAAUUAAGAUUCUACGGACUUAGGGUUGGUAAUUCUGCUUUAAAUCCUUUUCCUUGUUUGGAUGUGGGCUUAGAAUAGAAUCACUGAUUCCACUGUCAUUUCAAUCAUAAUUAUAUACGACGUAUAAACACAAAGAGAUGAUAGAUGAAUCAUUUAUGAGUCAUACCAUGAACUCCAUGACAAGAUACCCAUGACAGCGGAUGGACACACUACCACUUGAGCAAUCGUAGACAAAUCAACCAAACCCACACACUUUCUACCGACCAAGGCUACAAAGAAAAAUAUAAAAGCGGCAUGAGCAUAUCACAAGAUGAUUGCGAGACUGCAUAGUAUACCACUAUCUAUCAUUUUGGAUAAGGGACAAGUGAUUCGCCUCGUGUUUUCGAUAUUCGUUAAAGAAGACCUUAAUAUCACCCUCAAACUGACAGACAAAGCGGAAGAACCAUUCAUCGAAUCCUUAUACAACAAUAACUAAUACAUUAAUAUCAAAGUCGCGUCAUUCAAAGCUCUCUACAGAAGCAAGUGUAGAUUGCCUCUGUGCUGGGCUGAGGUAGGUGACACACAACUACCUAAGGGACAAGUUCCUAACAACACUCUCGCCAGCCCCCAGAUCAUACGAGAAACUAUAGAGAAGAUUGUUCAAACCCGUGAACAAUUGAAGCCAUCCCAGGAUCCGAAGAAGAACUUGUCUGAUGAGACUCUUGUUAUUCCACUUGACGAAAUUGAAGACAACGAGAGUCUAAACUUCAUCGAAGAACCGGUGGAAAUCAUGGAUCAGGAGGUCAAAAGGACGAAACAAAGCCGCAUACCCAUAGUGAAGGCCCGUUGGAACGCCAAGCGAGGACCUGAAUUCACCAGGGAAUGCGAGAAUCAACUAAAAAAAAAGAAACACCCUCAAUUGUUUAGUGAUAUCCCGUCUACAAGUUAAAUUUCGGUGCGAAAUUCUUUUAAUGGGGGGAGAAUGUAAGAAUUGGUAAAAAUAGGAACGAUCGUACGAUGCUAUGUUUUGAUUAUUAAGCAAUAUGAGUAUUUUAUCAAGAAUGGUUGAAGGAAUUUAACCUCUUUUAUUUAAAUAAGUUCUUCUGAAAUAUAUAACAAGUAACUAAUGAUAAAUUUUGUUAUGAUGUAUGACUACGAACCAUCAGCGGUUUGUGAAAAUUAGCAUAUAACAUCAUUUGAACGCAACAAACUUAAUUUUUGUAUCAACAUGUAUCUAGUUGAUAAUUAAGUUAGGUUAUAUGUAAAAGUGUGCUUAAUAGUUGUGGAGGAUCUAAAUUUGAAAAUAUACAAACUAAAGUGACAAAACGUGUAUAACGAUAUGGUUUACCGGUUAAAUGUCACGAAAUUAUACAUUGGUCAAUAAUUUUUAUAUUUAAAUAAAUUAAAAUAUAAAAUGAAUUAUUAUAAGGUAUAAUUAGAAUGUAUUUAAGUGUUUUUGAAUAAAAAGAAUAAAACAUAAACAUUAAAGUUCAAAUACACAAAAACUACAUUGUUAUUUUAUACUAAGUAUACAUGUAUGUAUUUGUAUAUAUGUAUUAUUAUCUAGUGAAUGACUAGUUAUGGGUCAUGACUUAAAGUGAUUUCAUGUAAGUUUUAUGAUGUCUAAAUCAAUUAAGAUAAGAGAAUUGGUGGAGAUAAGUGCCAACUUAACUAAUAAGUGCUUAAUCACUUAAGACAUUUUACUAAGAAUGCUUAUUAAUCCCUCUUCUAAUUUUCGAGAUUAAGACCUUCCCUCUCCUUAACUAGAACUCCUAACUAACUAAAUAACUAGUAGUUAGUUAGUUAACUAACUCUAUCUCUAAACAACCACCCAAGCAAGUGGCUAGACAAGAUCACAUCACUUAAACUCACAUCCCAUCACAAGCUAGUCUAGGUUUUGUCCCCUUAUCCUCUUCCACCCUUUCCUCCUUCAUAACCACGAAAUUUCCUCUUCAUUUUACCCUCAUUUGACCAGCCAAUACUCCAAGUAAUUACUCUCAACCUUCAUCUCAUUUUCAAGCACAAGAACUUCCUUCCAAAGCCAUCAAAACCAUGAACUAAAGGGUUGCUGUCCCUUUUGUGUUUCAGCCACCAUUUCACCCAUCUACACCUUCCUUUUGCUUGAUAUUUUUACCACCAAAUACCCCUGGAAGUUACUUGUUUUGAUACUCAAAAUUAUUGAUUCAAAACAGUGAGUAAACUACCCUUUUUCUUGCACUUUUGCUGUGAAAUUUUCGUGACAGCAACAUAGCCAAAAGAGUGGCUGUUUUGGAGCAUCAAACCAACAACCAAAAGUUCAUCUUCAACUUUCCAUUCUUCAAGUAUUCACAUAAGGUGAGUUCAUACCCCUACAUUUUCAUGUUUUAUUCAAGUUUUAAGGGGGGGAAUACAAGUUAGAACACUAAACAUAACUUAAAUUUAAAUGACAGCUUUCUACAGAAAAGUUGAGUCCUGUUCACGGACUGUUUUGACCAUCUUAAACUUAAUAUCUUUCAAAACUGUACAAUAUUCAAAUAGUUCAACUUUAUAACUUUCUAAGGACUACACGCAUGAACUCAUAUAAUUUUUCUAAAAUUUAUGUCGAUAUUUAGAAAACCGCCUGUCAUUUCAGAAGUGAUUUCGGACCAGUGUGUGAAGAUGUUCAUUUCCACACUAGUUUGAGACCACUAAAAAUCAUAAUAAAAAUGAGGAACAAAGUAGACUCAUUUUAUAAACUCUCAGAUGUGACGGAUUCAGUUUUUGACUUACGAUGAUUUUUCUAUGAGUUUUCUAAAAACAGGGACAGUAAAGGGUAAAACUGUCAAAAGUGGUUUAUAGAUUUAUUAACACCUUCUAACAUUUUUGAGCAAUGUUUAUACAUUAAGGAAGUUAAAACACAAUCAUUUAAAUAUGUUUAAUUACCAUUUUUACAAAAGUGAUAAGUACAAAAAGGUCUUUAGUAUCAAACUUAAAGAUUAUUUCAUGCAAAGUUUCUAAUAAAAACGUAAGAAUAUGAACAACAAUUACGUGACAUACCAAAUCAUCUUUUAAAAUUUAUACAUAUAUAUAUAACCAUUUACAUAUAUAUGUUUUGUUUACAAACUUGUCUUCUACAUCGAAAAUAUACAUAUAUAGUUUACGAAACUCUACUCCAUUUGUAUCCGGUUGAGCAAAUGGUAAAAUAUUGUCAAAUGCAUAUCUAAAGAUUUCACGUCGUUUUUCAUAGCUAUCCCAGUCUUAGGGGAUGAUCAUUUAUACAAACAUUUUCAACACAAAAACACGUAAACUCGUUGAAAAAAUUUAGUGAGUUUUGUUUUCACGGUACCUUAUAAAGUACACACGAAAGUCCUGUUAAAUAUAACCAGAGUCUCUUGUAGGGAGAGCGUGAUAGUUGUGUAUAGAUCUAUACUGGGACCGACAAUCCCGCACUUUUGCUGCUUGCAACAGCUAAACCGGCAGGUCUGGGGGUGACAAAUGUCAUAACGAAAUCGACACCUGAAGAACGUUGCAAACAAGGCAGUCUGGGUCAAUCAAGCAUGGUUAUAAGAUAAACUUUAAAACUCACAUAAAACAGCGACAUUUUUAGUUUAAGCAAAGACAGUCUUCAAACAGGUUUAUAUACAAACAAAACUGCAUAACAUCAUUUUAAGUAGGAAAAUUACUUAUACGCUUCGGUCUUGGUUCAUUUAAGGGCAAAUUUCAUUUUAGGGAAAAUAUAGGAUUUUCCAGAUAACUUGUAUUCUCACCAACUUAAAUGUUGAUACUCUCUUUUCAAAUAACUUGUAUUCUCAGGAAAUCAGUAAAUCAGGUAACAACUGGCAUUGAGGAUGGGACGCUUAGGCGUCUAAACAAAUCUUUUGACAACAUAUUGUAAUUGAUAUUUUGAAACAUGUAAUACGUACAAAUGAUGUAACUUUUUCAGUUAUAUAUAUGUUGGUUGUGUUUGCUUUGAACAUUUAUACUCAACUGUUAUGAUACACUACAUGAUAGUCACCCGCCCCUAGACGUUUCCGCCAUCUUGGUUUGGGGGUGUGACAGGUAGGGUCCGUUUGGUAUACAAAGUAUACUGUUUGGAAAUCUCACUUCAAACAUAUCGCUAAAUCCAACCUAGACAUCAUCUCCUUAAGUAGAUCAAUCAGUAAUAUGAUGUUGGAUUUAUUCAUAAAUCUUAUUUAUAAAUUCAUAACAACGACUAUGAAUUUUAAUAUAAAUUACGCUAAAGUAAAAUAGAGUGUAAUUUAACUUACAGAGAUUCCCUAGACAAAAGUAUAGAAAUUUCACUAGAAGAGCUUUUACUCGAUGGCUACUACUUAUGGGGCACUCAAGGGUCACAGGGCUCUGCCGGUAUAUUAGUAACUAAGGUAAAAUGGCAAUAAGUCAGAGAAUAUCGAGAGGGAAGGCAUGUAGGGGUGAGAUACGAAAAUCUUGCAUAGAGGAGAGUAUAUAUAGCUAAAAAAUGCAUUGUGUGUUGUGCACUAUGUCGGGGGUGGUGACGUGGCGUUCAACUAGUAGUGACAUGUGUCACAAUCUCAUGGGUUGUCAGAUGCACAUCGUUCCUCUUGUCUGUGUGCGACUGCGACUAGAUUUUUAUAAAAUCUUAGAAAACUCAUAUCUUCACCAUACAAGUUCCGUUUUCAAUGUGGUUUAUAUCCACGCGUAGCUAUCGACAUGAUCUGCAACUUUCAUUUAGACUCCAUUGGCUAAUUUUGAUUUAUUUUUAAAGUUAUAUUUUUAAUAGGCUUAGACUGUUAAUGUCCGUUAAAAAUUCAUAACUUUCUUUUCGACGCCCGUUCUUGACUAUCUUUUUGUCAACGAACUCCUAUUAACGAGAUCUUCAAUUCUCAUUUAGAUUGUUUUGGCUAAAAAUCAACAAAAUCUAAAAUUUGAUAUAUGUGCUAACACAAUUACACUGAAAUAUUAGAAAAAUCUUAACUUCCUCUCAUGAAGUCUGAUUUAGAUGUUCUCUAGAUGCACACUCUCGGGUUUACGGUUAAUACAACUUUUGUUUAGAUAAUAGAGGCUAAUAAGAGAUUCGCCUCUAAUUCAAUAUUUACGACACUCGAUGUCGUAUCGUGUUGAACGUAAAACUUCAACGAAUCAUGACUUCUUCGAUACACGUCGGAUUGGAGCAUUCCUUAUAUCUUUGGGAUUCUCAUCACGACUACUUUCUCCUUCAUCAAGGAUAUUCAUCCUAAUUAUUACUCUAUUUUAGAGAUGUAUUUUAUUCAUAUUUUAUUACAUCAAUUUAAGCACGUAUACUACAUAUAAUUAUACAUAAAUCACAUAAUACUCAAAUAAUUCUCUUUAUUUAUUUUUAGAAAGGGUUACAAUCGUUGAAUAUUACAAUUACAUCAUUUUAUUAAUGUCUAGCGAGAAAUGUGGGCGUUACAGUUAUCUCCUCCUUAGGAUGAUUUCUUCCAUCAUGAAUCAACAAAUAGAUGUGGAUAACGAUUUAUUGUGUCGCCCGCUGUCUCCAGGGUGAGGUUUGGCCCAUUCUUGUGCUUCCGUCGCACUAUUACUAAUUAAACCAUCAUACGUCUUAACUUCUCUAUCUUACAGUCAACAAUCUCUUCAGGCUCUUUAAUUACCCUCUUAUUCUUAUCGAUCCUUAACUCCGUAAGCAGAAUUAUAUCAGGAGCUUAUCCUGAGAACUUCCUCAAAUAACACACAUGAAAAGUGUUAUGAAUACCCUCCAAUUCUUUUAGCAAUUCCAGCUCGUAAGCUUGGUUUCCAAUUCUCUGAAGAACUUUAAACGGUCUAAUGAAUCUUGGAUCCAACUUUCCUCAUUUUCUAAAUUUAAUAAGUUCCUUCUGUGGAAGGACUUUGAGCAACACCAAAUCUCCAACUUCGAAAGUCAUUGGUCGUCACUUCUUAUCAGCUUAGCUCUUUUGAUGAUUUUGUGCUGCUAGCAUCCUUUCCCUAAUCACUUUCGGUUUCUCAGCAGUUUGAUAUACUAUCUCUAGUCCUACAUACUGGUUCUCUCUAGCUUCAAGCCAACAGGACAAUGUACGAUAUAUUUCACCAUACAAUGCAUGCUAAGGUGCCAUGUUAAUGCUCGAAUGGUAACUAUUAUUGUUGGAAAAUUUUACCAACGGUAGAUGCUCAUUCCAAUUACCAGGAAAUUCCAGAGUACAAGCUCUCAACAUAUCUUCUAGUUUUUGAAUUAUCCUUUUACUUGGAACAUCAGUUUGUGAGUGUUAGGUUGUACCCAAACACACAUUUGUACCCAUCUCUUCCUGUAAGCUCUUCAAAAAUCUAGAAGUAAAACGACUGUCAUGGUCUGACACAACUAUCAAGGGAACACUGUGAAGUUUUACUAUCUCUUUCACAUAGACAUUUGCUAGCUUAUCCAUAGAACAUCUCUCAUUGGACACUAUGAAAUGUGCGCUCGUUGUGAAUCGAUCACGAUUACCCAGAUCAUGUGACAACCCGGAAUUUCUAUCUUGUACAUCCAUGCAAUUCAAUCAAAGUCAGACUCGUUUCUGCCAUCUUUUAGCAUUGUUUAGAGUCUAUUUGAGUGUUCUAAGCCUAGUACAUUCAAGGUUUGGGUUUAGGGAUGACUUAUCUUAAGUUCAUCAAGUUGCAUUCAAGCCAAAAACUCCUUCAAGAGGAGUGUACGACCGUACACAUGAUUGUACAGCCGUACACCCAAUGUGGUCAUGAACUCAUGCCCAUAUAUGAGUCAUUCCUUCUUUUUCCUUCACUUGUCACACUUCCAAGUCAAGAAAGUCAAUUCUCUCUCAAUUAUCAUCAAGCAUUUCAUCUUGAUGUUCAACAAUGUAAGUAUUUCUUCCAUUGAUUAGUUGAUAUAAUGCCUUAUCUAGUGAAGAUCCAUGAUUUCAUCCACGAAAUUAUCUCUUUUGGUUAGAUCUUCAAGUCUUCAUCACUUUCACCAAGAACACCUACUAGUUCUUGGGCCGUGAACUCCAUAGGAACCCUCAAAAGUGUGAGUAUCUCUUCUAUCUUCUAGUUAAGCUUGAGAAACACUUGAUUCCUAGCCUUGAAUCAUCAUCUAGUGCAAGAACUUCAAGGGUGUACGGCCGUACACCCUUCUUAUGGUCGAAAACCCUUAUUUAGUGCAUGUUUUGGCCUCAAACUCAUCUUAUGUCCCAAAUAGGAUCUAGAACACAUAAUGGAUGCUAGAUAGGGUCAUAAAACACCUCCUUUGCAUGUUCUUCCACCAGUGUACGACCGUACACUCCAUGACCGUACACCUAAUGGUCGUACACCACAUUGGCCAUACACACCCUAGUGUGGCCGUAAACACCUUUGAUGCAAUCAUAUGUGAUUGUAACACUUUAAUCUAAGUGUUUCCUAGUCCCUAAGGUGGUUCCCUUGCAUAAUUAGUUAUAUAAACACUAAUUAUAUACAUAUAUGUGUCAUUAUAUGCUUAAUAGGAUCCGUUUGUGCUCAAGACUUCACUUGACACUCAACUUCCUAUAUCGAUCUUACAUUCGUAUCACUCACAACAGGUGAGUUCAUACCCCUUAACUUAUCUUUUAAAUGAUUUUAAAUGCUUUUAUGGGGGGAUACAAGUAGAAGCAUUAUACUUAAUAUAUCAAUCACAUAUGAUUAAUAACUAUCAAACAAGUGGAUAUCAUAUACUUCAAACUGUUUUAUCAAGCAAACUAUUUCAAAAUAUUUUAUAAAUUGACAUCAAGUCAUCGAUAGGCAUUCAAAUGGUUAAAACUCUUUUAUAUGCUAAACUCCUUAUUAAACUCUUUUAAACUAAUAUAUUGUCAAAAUCAUGUCUAUAUAGAUAUAGUUAUAUAAAUAAGGUUGAAAGUGCUUAGGACUGAUAACUCACUUUAUUUGAUGUUCCUUGGUUGGUUGUGGACUUAGGGUAUCCGGUUGUUUGUCCAAGUGUCAUUUGAAUCUUAAUUAUAUAUUAUGUAUAUGUAUAUAGAUAUAAAAGUUCUUACGUCAGUUCAACACCUUUGGGUAGCAAAGGUAUACAAACAUGCUUAGUCAUUCAAACAACAUUACUAGUAAACUAUAAUAGGUAUAGUUUAGGGAAUUACUACUCACUAUUUCUUGUACAAUGAAACAUACAAGAGUCAGUUCAUUCAAGAGUCAAUACAAACAUACUAUAAUGAGAAACAUAAAGAACAUACUAUGAUGAGAAACUAAGAGAACAUACACUACACUAUACAGAGAGAACAUAAUAUACACUAGAAUAGAGAGAACACACAAUACACUAGAACAUACUAUACAAACACAAGAAUACUAUAACAUUAAUGUGAGCCACUACUUCAUGGCAUGGAAAUUUACUACUGUGUCACGUUUUGCAACCAGAAUCUCCUGGAGAGAGAGCGUGAAUUUGUUUAUAGAUCUAUACGGGAUUGACCAUCCUACACCUUGCUGCUAGCUACAAUGGGACCUUCAAGUCUACGGGUGAUGAAUGUCAUAUCAUUUCAACGUCUUUAAUCGCCGUGUUAUACUAGUCAAUCAAGUAUGGAUACAACCUCAUCAAAUUUUACCUUAAUUAAAAACUGGUUUAAGGUAGUUCGAACAUUGGUAGUUACUUAUAUACAAUACUACAGUACAUCUUUAUUUUUUCAUUGCAUUCACAUUGUGAUCUUCUCACAUAAAUACUAAUGUAAACUAUAUUUUGGUAAUGAUAGUAAUACUUGGGAAAAACUUUCACUUUUACAAAAGAACAAAUAUACAGAACAGUCGGGUCUUGGUAGAAGACUACAUUUCAUAGUAAAGUAGGAAAUAUAGGAUUUUCUAGAAGAUACAACAUUUACAAGAAACAUUUACAAACAUUUUCAUACAAAACAACGACACUACAAUACUUAUGAACUCACCAGCUUUAAUGUCGAUCUACUCUUUCAAAAUAACUUGUACUCUUAGGUCACCAGUAGACAGGUACUCUAGACCAGGUUUUGAGAAGACGGAGCUCAGACAAGACUCGUCUUUUAUUUUGAUUCAUAUUUUGGUGUCUUACAAACUAUACACAGAACACACUUGUAUUAAAUUAAACUAUUAAUGCAAUGGAUGAUGUUGUUGCUUGUUUACUAUUAUGCAUUGAUAUGAUAUUGUACAUGAUGUCCUCCGCCCCGAACGUUUCCGUCGUUCCGGUUUUGGCGUGUGACAAAUCAUGUUGUGACCACUCAUAGUCCUGGGUAGCUUGGUCACAAAAUCCAUGGUCAUGUCUUCCGAUUUACCUAUGGGUACUAGUAAGGAUAAAAAUUCCUAUAUGGUUUCUCAUGUUGCGCCUUACCUCUCGUGCAAGUCACACACUCAGCCACAUAAUUUGCAAUGUCAAACUUCAUCGCCGGCCACCAAUAAUAAGGAUUCAAAUCCAUAUACAUGGUCAUGUAAGCUUCCUCCAUGAGAAUCUCUCAUUCCUCUCAUCUAGGUUACCCAAAUCCUAUCUUGGAAUACCUUUAAUCCUUGACUAUUGGUACCAAACACUAAUGUUUUACCCAAAAGUUCUUAUUUUUUUAUUAUCUCUAUCCAUAGCUUCCUCAUGAGCAUUCUUGAUACUUUCCACAAUUGUUGAGACAAUUUUAAUUAUUAACGCUCUUGGGAUUUUCCUCUCUAGGUUUAUUUUUCUACUUAAAUUAUCUGCUACGACAUUCGUUUUGCGAGGGUGGUAAAGUAUCUCACAGUCAUAGUCCUUAAGUAAUUCUAGCCAGCGUCUUUGUCUCAUGUUCAACUCCUUCUGAUUAAAGAAAUAUUGGAGACUCUUAUGAUCGGUGAACAGUUUACACUUAGUUCCAUAAAGAUAAUGUCUCCAUAUCUUUAGCGCAAAAACUACUGCUACCAACUCCAAAUCAUGAGUAAGGUAGUUCUACUCGUGAUCUUUCAGUUUUCUGGAUGCAUAUGCUAUCACUUUAUCUCUCUGGGUUAGAACACAACCUAACCCAACUCCAAAUGCAUCACUAUAAACUACUAAGUCUUCAACUCCAUCGAGAAAAGAAAGUAUUGGUGCUUCAUACAAGUGCUUCGGUAGCUUCUCAAAAGCUUCCUCAUGCUUCUCACUCUAGAUAUAGGUAGCUCCUUUAUGGGUCAAUGUUGUCAAUGAAGUAGCAAUUGAACAAAAGUAUUAGAUAAACCUUCUAUAAUAUCCAGUUAAUGCCAGAUGGCUACGAAUCUCAGUGGGACUUUUUCUUCGUUCCCACUUCAUCACUACUUUGAUCUUCACUGGGUCAACCAUUAUUACUUCUUAGUUAACCACAUGACCCAAGAAUUGCACCUCUUGGAUCCAAAAGUCACAUUUACAGAACUUUGCAUACAACUUUCUCCUUUUUAGAACUUCCAAUACUUCUCACAAGUUCUUAUAACGCUCGUGCUGGCUGUUUUGAGUAUACGGAAAUGUCGUCUAUGAACACUAUUAUAGAUUUGUCUAGGAAAUGUUUACCGACCCUUUUCAUUAAAUCCAUAAAUGUUGCUGGAGAAUUGGUUAGUCCGAACGACAUUAGAAAAAAACUCUUAGUGCCCAUAUCUCGUUACAAAUGUAGUCUUCUCAAUAUCUUGCUCUCUCACCUUCAGCUGAUGAUAUCCUGACCUAAGAUCGAUCUUCGAGAAACAGCUCGCACCCUGCAGCUGAUCCAACAGAUCAUCAAUCCUUGGAAAAGGGUACUUUUUCUUUAUCGUUGCCCUGUUCAACUCUUUAUAAUCUACGCACAUCCUCAUGUUUCCAUCCUUCUUCUUCAUGAAUAACAUCAAAGCUCCCCAGGGUGCUGACUACCCAUCAGUCCUAACAACCGAUCAUCGGGGACUAUUUCACCCCCUACUGCUACUAUCACAUAUAUCGUAACAUAACAUAUUAUCAGACAUAUCUGGGGUGUCCGAUCUACCCUUCGUCCCUAACAACCGGGCUUGGGGACUAUUCCCCUCUUACUACCACUAUCACAUAUAACAUAUCAUGCCAGCAUAUAAACAUAUCAUCACAUACUGUCAGACAUAUCUGGGGUGUCUGACCUACCCUUCUGUCCUAACAGCCGAACUCUACUACUAUCACAUAUACAUAUCAUGCUAGCAUAGAAACAUAACAGGUAGUAGCAANGACAAUCAUCUAACAUACAACUCCUAUGGGUGGGCCGGCAUUGUGGCCGUAGACCCACCGCUACUGGAAGGUAACUCACCUCAAACUAGUUGUUGAUCUGCGUGGGAAUUAACUGUCUUCUGCUGCUGCUGUCCCGGAAGUCCUCCGGCUAAAAUCCCCACAAAACACCUAGUCAAAUACUGCUAAUCGACCUCAGGGUAAAAUGACCAUUUACCCCUGACCGAGCCAAGAGUCAAAGUUAAAGUCAACUUCCAGUUGACCCGACUCACCGAGUUGGCCUGCCAACUCGCCGAGUCCCUAUCCCUUUGUCUGACCAUAACCCUGUCUCUACUCGUCGAGUUAGGCGUUGACUUGACGAGUUUUCCUUUUAAUCCAAGGUCCAAUAGUCCUUCAUCCUACUCGCCGAGUUGUAUGAACAACUCGCUGAGUUCAUCUUCAUCCGAAGAACAUGCUAUGCUAAGACUCGCCAAGUUGUAUGAACAACUCGCCGAGUCUGUUCUUGAGGUAAGAAGAUUGCCUUGGACUCGCCGAGUCAGGGCAUUGACUCGCCGAGUUCCUUCAUGGGUGAGUCUGGCUUCCGACUCACUGAGUCACAUCCCAUGACUCACUACUCCACUCCGCAAACAGAAAAGGGAAAACUCAGGGACUCGCGACUCGACUUGCCGAGUCCGAUGAACGACUCACCAAGUCUAUCGCAUGCAAACACUAAAUAUUCGAUUUUGCUUGAAUCCAGCUCAUGCCAUACAUAGAUCUGGGUUUAUAGGGCCUGGUUAACGCGUAAAGUUUCCAACUUAAUGUGUAAAUAAACACCAUUGAAGGUUUUAGGGCUCAAAAUGCACUAAAAGAGUGUAUCUAGGGCUCUCAUGCAAUAUGGCUCCAUAAAGGCAGUAUAUCCGAGCUCCUGGAGCUCAAUCAUGCCUAGAUCUAAAAGUUAAUCAAAUUAUUACAGAUCUUAAAUCAUACCCAAGCUUGGAAAUGGCUCAAGAAGGACUCUAAUGGAGCUAUAAGGGACUAUAAGCAUGGAAACAGAGGGAAACUAGGUUAUAUCUCAAGGAAAUCACUGAGAUAACACAAGGAUGUCUGGCCUCCUUCUUCUCUUCUUGAUCUACUCUUCUUUCUUCUCAAAAUCUUUAAGAAACACACCAAAGCACUUCAAUCUCACAACGAAUAAGGGUUGAACAAUGUUGGGAGCUCUGAGGGUGAAGGGGGCGAGGUUGGGGCGCAUAAGGUUGGUUUAAAUUGUGACAACCCGAAAUUUAUUCCGUCAUUUUAACCCCUUUUCCGUUAAUAAGCCUCGUUUUAUUUAACUGUUUGUUAACUUUUGGACUAGUUAAUUAAUUUGGGACUUUUUAAAUGACUUAGUAGGGGUUGAAACAAAUUAGAAACACCCUCAUUAAUCCCUUGGAAAAUUUUAGUUUCAACCAAGUCAAAAUACAACCACUAAAUCAGUGCGACCAAAAGCCCCGUUUAACGGCAGUAUCGGGUAGAUUUCCACUGAGCCUCAACUCAAGCCCCUAUAUAAUGGGGAGUGGACUUCAUUUCCACCCUUUUCACUCUCUCUCUACAAGUUAUUUUCGAGCCAAAAAAACACCCGUUUCGAGCCCCAAACGAGUAAGCAAUCUACCCUAACUUGUUGUAUAGCUUAGCUAACAUAAAAAUUCGUGUUUGAGACAUCAAAUAGGAGUAAAUUCAUGUGUUUACGGACCAAGAACACUCUUGGACCGUGAACACCCUUAAAUGGGGUUUUUAAGCCCCAAAACCCCUCAAAACUACCCCUAAGGCUUAGAUAUGGCUAAAUGACUUAUGGAAACGGACUUAGAACACAUUGAACUUAAAUUUUGGGGAGUAAACUUGAGUUUACUACGCAAGAACAUGCUUGGGCCAUAAACUCCUCUUCAUGGGGAGUAAACUCAAGUUCGAGUGUUAGAAAUGCCCUCAAACACCUCCUAUGGCCUUGGAAAAUAUCUAGAAGCAUCCCUCAUUGAAGUAAAGGAUUUAAACUUCAAUUAAUCCAAGGAAAUUGGAGUUUACCGCUGUAAACCCCCCUAGGAAAGGUCCAUGGGCCGUAAACUCCUAAAAGGUGCCCAAAUGAUGCCCUAAACUCCCCAUUUGACUUGGAAAAAUGCAUAGGAUUUUAUUCUCUAUCAUUUAAGCCCUUAAAACACCAAAAGAAUAUGUACAUAGGAGCUUAUGGCCAUAAACUCCUUGUUUAAGGCCAUAAACUCCUUAGUUGGUCCAUUUGAUGCCUUAAAUACAUUCAUACACUUUAUAUUUGGACCUAGCAAAAUUCCUCAAGUGAUAUAAGACAUUUUGGCAUCCUAGAACACCCUCACCACGAGUUUACGACCGUAAACUCAUGGGGAGUUAGUCCUAGGGCCGUGAACUCUAUAAAGAGUAAGAGUAAACUCCCUAUAUAAGCCAUUCACACCCUUAAAUGUUACCCAGGACACUCCAAGCACUUAACCAAAGUGUUUUCCGCACUUUAGGAUGCGUAUACGUGAUUAAUUAGUAUUAUACUUACUAAUUGUAUGUAAACAUAUAUUAUCAUAUGUAAAUAGAUCACUAAGUGUGUUCAAGUCUUUACUUGACAUCGAGCACCCAACCGACACCUUUGUCGGAUCCACUUACAUCAAGUGAGUUCAUACCCCUGAAUUAACCUUUUUAGAUGUUUUUACAUGUUUUAUGGGGGGAUACAAGUUAAACAUGCCAGUUAUCAUGUCAAUCACAUGUGAUUGAUAACCCGCAUGUACAAGGAUUUAUUACACUGUUAACUGUUUUACCAAGUUUGAUAUUGUAAAUGGUUUUCUAAAAUGUCUUUACUUGUUCAAAUCUUUACUUUUAUUGUCUUACCAAAGUUAUGAUCAAAACAUGGUUAUGUAAGGUUUUCAAAGGAUUUCUAAAGGUUUUCAAACUGAUUUUAAAAAAGAAAACCAAGUCAUGAUUGUCUUACGUACAAAGGUUUUCCAAAGUUUUCAUCAAAGUUUUCUUCCAUGUUUUUAUACUCUUACUUGGUUAGAUACUACUGCUUCGUUAUACUUCUACUUAGUUAAUACUCCCACUUAGUUAAAUGCUAUUACUAUAUUGACGCUUCUACUUCGAGAUACGCUUAUACUUGUUUACACUUUUACUUCGUGAUAUACUUUUACUUCGUGAGACGCUUUUACUUAGUGAUACGCUCCUAUUUCACGAUACACUUAUACUUGUUAAACGAUUCUACUUCGAGAAAUACUACUACUUCGUAAACGCUCCUACUUUGUUACCGCUUCUACUUCACGAACAACUCCAACUUUAUUAAUGCUACUACUUCGUGAACGCUUAUACUUUAUUAACACUUUUACUUAGAGAAACGCUUCUACUUCACAAUACUCUCCUACUUCACGAUACGCUUCUGCUUGUUAACACUUCUACUUCGAUAAACACUUCAACUUCGUUAAAUGCUCUUACUUAGUUAAAUGUAUGCCUGUACUUGUAUAGUUAUAUAAAUAAUGAUUAAAGGACUUAGGAAGCCUAGUUCGCCCUAUUUCCUUUUCUUCGUUGAGAUGUGGUCUGGUGGGAUCAGAUAUCCAUCCGAAGGUCGUUUGAUCAUUUGUUAUAUAUCAUGUAUACAAGUAUAGACAUAUGGGUUUUACAUCGGUAGGUUCAGUUCUGAGUCUCUACUGCUAGUCCAACACUUUUGUCAAAUUCACUAUUUGGGAUACAUCUUCAGGACACGGCCUUCUUCGUUGUCUAGUUGGUAACCAGAGUCUUUUGUAGGGAGAGCGGACAUUAUGUGUAUAAAUCUAUACGGGAUUGACACCCCCGCACCCUAACUACUAGCUACAGUCCAUGGCCUACCAAGCCAAGGGGUGACAAAUUUCAUACUUACACCGACGCUUGCAGUGUGUCAAGUACUCUAGUGUCAAUUAGUAUGGUUACGAUUAUCUCCAUGUUACCUUAUAAUUCAUGGUCUUAAGGUAAUGAUAUUUAACAUUGUAUGCUGUAAACACACUCUUAGAAUUACACUAUUUGAGACCAUAUUAGCCGUAUCUUCCAUUUGAUACUAUCUAGGGUCUGUAUUCACUGUUUUAGACCGUGCUAGCUGUAUCUUUCAUUUGAUACUGUUUAGGGUCUGUAUUCACUGUUUUAGACCUUGCUAGCUGUAUCGUUCAUUUGAUACAGUCUGGGGUCCGUGUCUCCUUUUGUUAGACUGAGCCAGGCGUUUCGUUCAUUCGAUACUCUCCUGGAGUCUAUGAUNGAGUCUAUGACCUUUUGCCUUAGUCAGCAGUCUUCACUGCUGAGGAAUAUGUUAUUUUCCCUGAUAUUCUUCUACUUUCUUUAAAAUCAAAUCCCGUAUUUUGAUAAUGAUAGUGUUUAAGGGAAAACUACUUUUUACUACAUAACUCCGUCCAGUCUUGGUAGAAGACUGCUUUUAAUUAGAAAAUAUAGGAUUUUCUGGAAAGGACUCUAAUACACUAUAGAAUCUAAAACUACUUCUUUUAUAAUGUUAUUUUGAACUUACACAAAUGACACUAAAUACUUAUGAACUCACCAGCAUUUGUAAAAAAUGUUGAUACUCGCUUUCAAAAUAACUUGUAUUCUCAAGUCAGCAAUAGACAAGUACAUCCCUGGAGCUUUUGAUGAAGACAGUUUAGUACCAAGCUGCACUUAUACUAUUACUUGUAUUACUUUGAUAUUCUAUGUAAUGUAAACCAUGUAAAACUAUUACUAUUAAUGCAAUGGUUGUUGUACUUUGAUUACUAUACUGCAUAUAUUGUGAUACUUGACAUGACGUCAUCCACCCCAGAACGUUUCCGCCGUUUCGGUUUUGGGGUGUGACAUAAAUAGGGUGCAAACCCUUGGAAUUUAGGGUUUAAUCAGACAACAGGGACUCGCCGAGUCGCCAACUUAAACGUGCUCCCAAACCCGUCUCCACUCAGCGAGUCGGGCCUAAAACUCGCCGAGUCCAAGGCUAAAAAUGUAAAAUACUUAGAUAAAUUUAUGUACCAGGAUCUAGGUGCUACAAAUUUCCCCCUCUUAUUUUAGACUUCGUCCUCGAAGUCUGCUGCUCGCUCCUAAAACAACUCAGGGUAAUGCUCCAUCAUUUCUUCCACCGGCUCUCAAGUCCAUUCCAAAACCUUUCGGUGCUGCCAUUGCACCUUUACUAAUUCCACCCUCUUGUUCCUCAGAUCCUUUGACUUCCAGUCGAGGAUUGCAACUGGGCACUCAAUGUAAUUCAGGCUGUCAUCAACCUGUAUAUCCUCUAGCGACACCACCGCUGAAUCAUCCACUAGGCACUUCCGCAGCUGGGAGACAUGGAAGGUGUUGUGGAUCUGACUGAGCUCGGCUGGCAGAUCCAGCCUAUAUGCCACCUUUCCCACCCAGGCUACAACCCUGAACGGACCAAUGAAUCUUGGGCCCAACUUGCCCCGCUUCCUGAAUCGAAUGACGCCCUUCCAAGGCGAAACUUUCAGGAGAACCAUAUCCCCAACCUGAAAUUCCAGGUUUGACCGGUGCUUGUCGGCGUAACUUUUCUGCCGACUCUGCGCAGUCUGCAGCCUGCUUCGAACCUGCUGGAUUCUCUCGGUCGUCUUGAGCACCACUUCGGUGCUCCCCAUGACCCUCUGGCCAACUUCACCCCAACAUAUCGGGGUCCUGCACCUCCGUCCGUACAACAUCUCGAAUGGGGGACGGUCAAUACUCGNNNNNNNNNNNNNNNNNNNNNNNNNNNNNNNNNNNNNNNNNNNNNNNNNNNNNNNNNNNNNNNNNNNNNNNNNNNNNNNNNNNNNNNNNNNNNNNNNNNNNNNNNNNNNNNNNNNNNNNNNNNNNNNNNNNNNNNNNNNNNNNNNNNNNNNNNNNNNNNNNNNNNNNNNNNNNNNNNNNNNNNNNNNNNNNNNNNNNNNNNNNNNNNNNNNNNNNNNNNNNNNNNNNNNNNNNNNNNNNNNNNNNNNNNNNNNNNNNNNNNNNNNNNNNNNNNNNNNNNNNNNNNNNNNNNNNNNNNNNNNNNNNNNNNNNNNNNNNNNNNNNNNNNNNNNNNNNNNNNNNNNNNNNNNNNNNNNNNNNNNNNNNNNNNNNNNNNNNNNNNNNNNNNNNNNNNNNNNNNNNNNNNNNNNNNCGGGAUAUCCGCUGCAUCUUGCCAUGCGGUAUCUGAUGCUUGGCUUUGACCUUCCUACAGGUCAAACACCGCUCAACGUACCACGCCACAUCACGCUUCAUGCAGGGCCACCAAUAGUCUAGACGAAAAUCCCGAUACAUCUUCGUCGCCCCUGGAUGGAUAGUGAAUCGGGAUUUGUGCGCCUCCUCCAUCAAGAUCUGGCGCACUCCUCCGUGGUACGGCACCCACACCCUAUGGUAUAGUGUCAAUAAUCCUCGGCUAUCAUAAUCGAAGGAGGUGACUUGACCCACUAUUCGCUCACUCUUCNNNNNNNNNNNNNNNNNNNNNNNNNNNNNNNNNNNNNNNNNNNNNNNNNNNNNNNNNNNNNNNNNNNNNNNNNNNNNNNNNNNNNNNNNNNNNNNNNNNNNNNNNNNNNNNNNNNNNNNNNNNNNNNNNNNNNNNNNNNNNNNNNNNNNNNNNNNNNNNNNNNNNNNNNNNNNNNNNNNNNNNNNNNNNNNNNNNNNNNNNNNNNNNNNNNNNNNNNNNNNNNNNNNNNNNNNNNNNNNNNNNNNNNNNNNNNNNNNNNNNNNNNNNNNNNNNNNNNNNNNNNCACCGCCCCCAACUCUAAAUCAUGCGUCGGGUAGUUCGCCUCGUGAGGCUUCAGCUGCCUCGAGGCAUAAGCGAUGACAUGUCCCCUCUACAUCAAUACUGCACCAAAGCCCGAGAUAGACGCAUCACAGUAUACCACGAAAUCCUCUACACCCUCCGGCAUGGCUAAGAUCAGCGCCUCGCACAAUCUCUGCCUCAGAAUCUCGAACGUUGCCUGCUGCUCAGGCCCCCAUCGAAAGACCACGGCUUUCCUAGUCAACCGUGUCAGGGUUACGGCUAUCUUGGAGAAAUCUUGAAUGAAUCUCCGAUAGUAUCCUGUAAUCCUAGGAAACUCCGAAUCUCGAAUGGAGACUUCGGAACCUCCCAUCUCAUCACGGCCUCCACCUUGGCCGGGUCUACUGAAAUCCCGUUUUGGUUGAUGAGGUGCCCAAGAAAAUGCACCUCGCACAACCAAAACUCACAUUUGGAGAACUUGGCGUACAAGCUCUCCCUCCUCAAGGUCUCUAAAACCUCUCUCAGAUGCUCCUUGUGCUCUUCCUGCGUCUUAGAAUAAACCAAGAUGUCAUCAAUGAAAACUAUCAUAGACCGAUUUAGCAUCGGUCUACACACGCAGUUCAUGAGGACCAUGAACGCGGCAGGAGCAUUGGUGAGUCCAAACGACAUCACCACGAACUCAUAAUGGCCAUAACGCGUCCGAAACGCGGUCUUCUGUACAUCCUCCUCUCUGACCCUCAUCUGAUGAUAACCUGAAUGCAAAUCGAUCUUGGAGANNNNNNNNNNNNNNNNNNNNNNNNNNNNNNNNNNNNNNNNNNNNNNNNNNNNNNNNNNNNNNNNNNNNNNNNNNNNNNNNNNNNNNNNNNNNNNNNNNNNNNNNNNNNNNNNNNNNNNNNNNNNNNNNNNNNNNNNNNNNNNNNNNNNNNNNNNNNNNNNNNNNNNNNNNNNNNNNNNNNNNNNNNNNNNNNNNNNNNNNNNNNNNNNNNNNNNNNNNNNNNNNNNNNNNNNNNNNNNNAUACACAUCCGAUGUGACCCGUCCUUCUUCUUCACAAAUAGGAUCGGGGCUCCCCAGGGUGAACUGCUUGGUCGAAUAAAUCCCUUGUCUAGCAGCUCCUGCAUCUCGGGAGGAGCCAACCGAUAGGGUGCCUUGACUAUCGGAGCCGCACCAGGAACUGGGUCGAUCCUGAACUCUACCUGACGCUCCGGAGGUAUUCCAGAAAGCUCCUCCAGGAACACAUCAGCGUAGUCUCGCACCACUGGAACCUCACUCACCGUCGCCUUACCCGCAUCCCUGGUAUCCAUAAUGUACACGACAUAUCCCAUGCAACCCCGCUGAAGGUAGCGCCUAGCUCUCGCUGCUGAACAUACUGUGGGUCCAUGUUGUGGCCUCUCGUCGUAGAUCACCAACUCUCCCCCACUUGGGUUAACGUCCCAAAAAUACGAGCCAAAAAUUUCAUUUUUAAAACAUACACUUUGCAAAACAUUAGAAAUAAAACAUUCACGGAUCAUAUCAUUUCAUAAAAGAUGUUGCUUGUCUGGAAACCAUUUUAUAAAACAUAAUACUGUCAGAGUACAAAUCCCCAGGAAGAUCCCAUAGUGUGGAAUACAAAGCGUGUGUGUGAGGUACCGCUACCAUUCUGGCUUCUUCCCCUUCGAAGAAGAGGUACCUGAAAACAAAACUGAAAAAUGUAAGCACAAAGCUUAGUGAGUUCUCGCAUCAUUGUAAGGUCCCAAUUACAAGAUCGAAACCAGUGAUCAAAACAAACAAUAACAUAAAUGAGUAGAAUAAGAGGAUGAUCAAGCAAUGCACACGUUCAUUCACUAAAACAUCAAGUACACCUUGAAGAUUCACACACACUGACCGUAAACAAUUGUGAUACGUCACUAUUUUGACAGACACUGACACAAACUAUAUAUAAUAAAGACAAGCCGUAAACCUGUUUACGGCCGUAAUCACCAACUCAGUNCAUCUGGGGUGUCCAAUCUACCCUUCGGCCCUAACGACCGGGCUUGGGGAUUAUUCCCCUCCUACUACCACUAUCACAUAUAACAUAUCAUGCCAUCAUGUAAACAUAUCAUCACAUACGAUCAGACAUAUCUAGGGUGUCUAACCUACCCUUCGGUCCUAACAUCCGAACUCAACUACUAUCACAUAUACAUAUCAUGCCAGCAUAGAUACAUAUCAGGUAGUAGCAAACCUAGAUGAUAUCACAAAACAAUCAUCUAACGUACAAAUCCUACUAGUGGGCCGGCAUUGUGUUCGUAGACCCACCGCUACUGGAAGGUAACUCACCUCAAAGUAGCUGCUGAUCUGCGUGGGAAUUGACUGUUUACUGCCGCUGCUGUCUCGGAAGUCCUCCGACUAAAAUCCCCACAAAACACUCAGUCAAAUACUGCUAAUCGACCUCAGGGUAAAAUGACCAUUUACCCCUAACCGAGCCAAGAUUCAAAGUCAAAGUCAACUUCCAGUUGACCCGACUCGCCGAGUUGGCCUGCCAACUCGCCGAGUCCCUAUCCCUUUGUCUGACCAUAACCCCGUCUCUACUCGUCGAGUUAGGCGUUGACUCGANNNNNNNNNNNNNNNNNNNNNNNNNNNNNNNNNNNNNNNNNNNNNNNNNNNNNNNNNNNNNNNNNNNNNNNNNNNNNNNNNNNNNNNNNNNNNNNNNNNNNNNNNNNNNNNNNNNNNNNNNNNNNNNNNNNNNNNNNNNNNNNNNNNNNNNNNNNNNNNNNNNNNNNNNNNNNNNNNNNNNNNNNAACCGAUGUCCAAUAGUCCUUCAUCCUACUCGCCGAGUUGUAUGAACAACUCGCCGAGUUCAUCUUCAUCCGAAGAACAUUCUAUGCUGAGACUCGCCGAGUUGUAUGAACAACUCGCCGAGUCUGUUCUUGAGGCAAGAAGAUUGCCUUGGACUUGCCGAGUCAGGGCAUUGACUCGCCGAUUUCCUUCAUGGGUGAGUCUGGCUUCCGACUCACUGAGUCACACCCCAUGACUCACUACUCCACUCCACAAACACAAAAAGGGAAAACUCGGGGACUCGCGACUGGACUCGCCGAGUCCGAUGAACGACUCACCGAGUCUAUCGCAUGCAAACACUAAAUAUUCGAUUUUGCUUGAAUCCAGCUCAUGCAAUACAUAGAUUUGGGUUUCUAGGGCCUGGUUAACACGUAAAGUUUCCAACUUUACGUGUAAAUAAACACCCAUGAAGGUUUUAGGGCUCAAAAUGCACUAAAAGAGUAGAUCUAGGGUUCUCAUGCAAUAUGGCUCCAUAAAGGCAGUAGAUCCGAGCUCUUGGAGCUCAAUCAUGCCUAGAUCUAAAGGUUAAUCAACUUAUUACAGAUCUUAAAUCAUACCCAAGUUUGGAAAUGGCUCAAGAAGGACUCUAAUGGAGCUAUAAGGGACUAUAAGCAUGGAAACAGAGGGAAACUAAGUUAUACCUCAAGGAAAUCACUGAGAUAACACAAGGAUGCCUGGCCUCCUUCUUCUCUUCUUGAUCUACUCUUCUUUCUUCUCAAAAUCUUCAAGAAACACACCAAAGCACUUCAAUCUCACAAGGAAUAAGGUUUUGAACGAUGUUGGGAGCUCUGAGGGUGAAAGGGGCGAGGUUGGGGCGCAUAAGGUUGGUUUAAAUAGGGUGCAAACCCUUGGAAUUUAGGGUUUCAUCAGACAGCAGGGACUCGCCGAGUCCAGAAUGUGGACUCACCGAGUCGCCAACUUAAACGUGCUCCCAAACCCAUCUCCACUCAGUGAGUCGGGCCUACAAGUCGCCGAGUCCAAGGCUAAAAAUGUAAAAUACUUAGAUAAAUUUUACGUACCAGGAUCCAGGUGCCACAUCCUUCAUCUCCGUCAGUGCUAAUCGAUAUGGUACUUUUACUAUCAGCAUCGUUCUUGGUAACAAGUUUAUUCGAAAUUCUACUAGUCUAUCAGGGACAAUCCAUGAAGAUAUUCGGGAAAUACUUCCGGAAAGUCACACACCAUGGGUAUUCUCUAUAUCUCCUUCUUUGCAUCAAUCACUAAUGACAUAUAUGAUGUACAUAUUUUGUCCAAACACUCUCUAUCUUUCAUCAGGGAGAUCAUUCUAGAAUUCACUCAGAGUUUUUCCCCGUAUACCACAAAUGUUUCUCUUCUAGGGGGGUUCACUCUCACCAUCUUCUUCCUACAUAGUAUCUUGGCAUCGUUUGUACUAAACCAAUCCAUUCCUAAUACUAUGUUGAAUCCGUUUAACUCAGUGGGCAACAAUUCCACAUGGAAAUUAUUCCCAUUUAAGUCAAUGACGAUGUUCUUAAUAUAGUCACUAACAGGUAUGAAUUUUCCACUAGCGACCUCUACUACUAGAGCACUAUCUAGUUUAUCUACAGGCAAUUCUAGUCUUAUACCAAAUUUUUGCGAAAUAAAGGAGUAGUUAGCUUCAGAAAAAAAUAUUGGGAGCAAAAUAAUUUACUAGAAAGGUAGCUGAAGCGAUAUCUGCUUCCUCAUUUGCUGCUUCCAGAGUCAUUUGGAAUGCUCUCACCUUUCGCUUCGGUGGGACAUUUGGAUUUGCGACCUCUUUCUUCUUCGGAAAAUCAUUUUCUAGUUUCCCCUCCUCUCCAUAAUUAUAGCACACUCUCUUGUUUAAUGUACACUCAUUGGCAUAGUGACUCGUCCUUCCGCAUAUGUAAGAAGUCACCUCCUCAGUACAUUUUCCAUAGUACUUCUUUUUGCAUUUCUCACACGAUUUUGCUUCACCUCCUCCUCCUCCAAAAUUCUUAGGAUCAGACUUCGAGAAUCUGCUUCUCUUGUUGGAUCUCGAAGAUAUCUCAAAUUUCCUAUUCUAUCCUACCUCUGCUCUCUCCAGUCCAUUCUAUCUUAUUUGGGUCUCAAUAUUUUUAGCUGCCCAGAUAGUGGCUUUCAAAGUGGUUGCCAGUUUCACCUUUAGACUGAAAUCUGCUAGUAUUCCACUAGCAAACUUGUUGAUCUUGGAGAGUUCAGUUGGAACUAAGUAAGGAACAAGCUUCAUUAUUCCUGUAAAACUUGCAUCAUAAUCGUUGAUGCUUAUCUUUCCCUUCCUUAGGUUCUAGAUAUCAUUACUAAUCUCCAAAAGAUCCUGCUCAGAGCAGUGCUGCAUUUCCAAUUGCACCAAAAAUUCUUCCCAAGACCUCUUACUAGCUUCUCCCUUGGGCAUGGUAUUAGCCAGUAACUUCCACCAUCUUAAUACCCUAUUCUUCAACUGUAUGACUGCGAAAAUGCUCUUCUUCUUGUUGCUACAGUCAUAACUCUUAAACACCAUCUCCAUCUUAGAGACCUAAUCCAUAACUUCCACAAGUUUUGGGCUUCUAGAAAGACUCGGUGGCUUGGAUGCCAUGAAAUCCUUGUACUUGCAUCCACGUCCAUCGUCUCCUUCAUUUGACUGGUUCCUUCAAACCACAUGUGGCUUAGCUUAACUGACAGUCCGACAGUAGUUUCCCUCCUCAAGCUAUUCUUCAUUCAGAUCAGGUUGCACAAUAGGUAUAGUAUGUUCAUCCCUAUUUUGUUGAAGUAAACACCUUUUCUCUUCCAUAUGGCAAUCAAACAUCACCUGAAUCAUUGCCAACGUGAUAGGUUCAGGUGAUGCUGCUACCUCUGGUGCAUGUUCAAUCACUCAUGGCUCAGGAUACUAGUUUCUAUUAACAUUUCCUAAUCCACUCCGUGUUCUCACCAUGACGUUCUAUACACCAAAGUAGACAUUUCGUGUCCCGAGAAGAGAAUUUAAGAUACAAAAGUUUUUGUUUGACACAUAGUCCUCCUUAUUCCUCUGAAAUAUUACAUGUCAGUUCUAAUACCGUACUUAAAAGUUUAGAAUCAUGAACACAUAAAUUUUCUAAAUCUUGGUCGGCAACAAACCAAUGAUUUAUUCAAAUAAAAGCAUCCUAGGUAGGCAAUCUAAAGCAUCUUAAGGCAUCUUAUCACUAUAGUAUACUUUAUCAUAAAUCAUUUAGCAUAUAAAGAAAUCUAGGAAUCAUUCCUAUAAUAAGCUAGUGUUUGUGUCACUUCAGGCAUACUACCUAAAAUAUAGUAGACACUCAUCUUAAAAUCAUCGCUUAGCAUUCUAUAUUUAAGUCUAUAAAUCCUCAAAUAUUCCUAAUUCGCUUAAACUAAUGCUCUGAUACCAACUGUGACAUCCCCAUUUUCACAGUCAUAAAAUACCAAUUUUAACUAUGCUUAUUUUAUUUCAGAGUAUCCUUUUCAAAGAACUAUAAUGCGAAAUUUGUUCCCAAUAAUGUGAUAAUAUUAUUACCAAGCAUUUCCAAAGAAAUGAAUUUCAUUUAUAACAUUGGGAUGUCAUCAUCAAUAUAGAAAAAUAAGCAUAACAAAAACAUUAUAGUCCCUACAACAUCUUAUUAUACUAUUGCCUACAAGCUCCUUAAAUCACUCAACAUCCUUGGGCCUUCGUACCGCUACCUGUGAUACAAUGAAACUGAGAGGGUCAGGCUUGGGGCCUAAUGAGCACAUAAUGUAUUUAACCCGCAAUAACCAAGCUCUUUUAAUUAUAUAAUUUACAUCAAAUAAUUUACCCGAUUAACCAUUCCCGUUAUUCUCACAUAUUGAUCCUAAAAUAUUGAUCUCAAUGGAGCUAUCCUAAGGAUCAUUAUCAUCAAUGGGUAGACAAUAUUGCUUGGGAGAUUCCUUUAGCAACAUGUGUCCAUAAGGCAACCAUGGGGGAUAGAGUACAUCAAUGAACAUAUAGUUUACUAAAACCUAUAGGUUACGAGCCUGCCAUCUUUUCUACUAGACUAUCUAGAAUAGUCCAUGGUCGCCAUCUAUACUUUGCUAGACAACUUGUUGAUCAAUAGUCAAGUCCUCUCAUCAUCAUCUCAUUGUCUUCAUCACCCAUUACUACCCAAAAUAUUUUAUAUAAAUACAUAAUAAAAUACAUAUAUUAUUAACCAAUUAAAAUCAUAUAAUUUAUCUAACACAAAUAUCAAGUAAUUCAGAUAAUAGGCAUACAUAGCAUUUAAUCAUCUAUAUACUUUAUAUCUAUGUGUAAGCUGAAAGUAACUAUGCACUCACUUGAUAAAGUGAUGACUUUGAAAUCAGAUAGUGCUUUUGUCACACCCCCAAACCAAGGAUGGCGGAAACGUCCGGGGGUGGAGGACUUCAUGUAGAGUAUCACAACAACGAGUAUAAUAGUGCUCAAAGUAAAUACAACCAUCAUAAAUAUAAUUGAAAAAGUUACACCAAGGUAUAUGCUUACAUGAUUCGAAUCAAUUACAUUAUGAUACAAAAUGAACUGUUUGACGAUUUAUCGUCCCAUCCUCAAAACGUUGUUGAUUUCAUGUUUUCACUGAACUCCUGAGAAUACAAGUAGUUUUGAAAAGUGUCAACACAAAGGUUGGUGAGUUCAUCAGCUUUUGAUAGUAAGAGUUUGAAAAUCGGUCUUUGUAAAGAGAUGUAUGUUACCAAGAAAAAUCCAAUAUUGUCCUUAUAAAAGUUAUGUGGUCCUAAAUACCAGGUCCGAAAAUGAACAAGUAUUUGUCAUACUUAAGGAUAUAAAUGUGGUUUUAAAUUGGCGUAAAACCCUUUCUGAUUUGAGAAAAAUCCUGAAAUGAAUGAUGUGUAGUCUUAUAUACCAAGACUGAAAAUAUACCCUAAUAUCUAUAAUUAUUGAAAUAAAAAGUGAUUUUAAAUCGACAUAAAACCCCUUUUGAUUUAUGAAAAUCCCUGUAAACUUUAUGUUGUUAAAUCCCUAUGUGAGCUGCUAUAAUCAUACUAAUGACUGAAUAAACCUGCCACAACGUUUCUUUGGCGUCGCGAAACUGAAAUGACACUUGACACCACAGACCUGUCGGUCUAGCUAUUGCAUGCAACUCAGGUGUAGGUUGUCUAACCCAAUAUAGAUCUAUACACAACUAUCACGUUCUCCCUCCAGGAGACUCUAAUUAUAACUAACAGGAAUUUAGAUUCCGCACUCGGACGUACGGAAGAGAUUGUCUCACAAUUUAGGUUAACAAGUUUACGUGUGGCGUGCAUGAGUGUAAAAUCUUUUCUGUGGGAAUAAAACCUUCCGAAAUGUGUUUGUUGUGUUAAUGGAAACAUAAACCAUACCUAUUAUAGUUUAUCCCAAAACGUUUGUAAUGUAUAAGAACUCUUUUAUGAAAACGCAUUUGUGUUAUGAAUCCAUAAACUAUGCUUAUUAUAGCUUAAUAUACGUGUUCUAAAUAAAUGAAUAAUCUUAUCAUGAAUGACUAAGUUUCAGUUUAUGAUGAUAAACUAACAAGGAAACACAUUCAAUAUUUAGAACUUAUUGUUAUACACUUUGCUCAACAUAAUACAAAGUGUUAUGAAAUUUAUAUGCUGUUAACUAAAUUUAACCUUUCUGCGCUGUUUUAGAAAAGUCAUAGAAAAAUCAUACGAAGUCGAAAACUAAAUCCGUAAAUUCUGAGAGUUCCCAAAAUGUGUCUAGUUUACUCAUAAUUUUUAUCAUGAUUUUUAAUGACCUCCAACUUGGGUGAAAAAGUCCAUAAUCACAGACUGGUCCGGAUUGAUGUUUGAAAUGAUAGGCAGUUUUGUAAAAAUCACCAUAAAUUGUAGAAAAAUCGUAUGGAGAUGUGCAAGUAGUCAUUUUAAAGCUAAGAAGUGGAACUACAUGCACCUAAAACAGUUUUGAAAACUAAAAUGUUUAAGUUGUCCAAAACAGUCCGUGAAUGGAGUUGAACUUUUCUGAUGAAGGCUGUUAUAAACGUUUAGUUAUGUUCUUGGUGUUUUAACUUGUAUUCCCCCCCUAAAAACUUGAGAAAACAUGAAAAUGUAGGGGUAUAACUCACCUUGAGUAGUUUCAGUAGAUGAGUGUUGAAGAAGAGAAGUGUCCAAAUCAAGAACACUUGAAGAAUCACUUGCAGAUUCGAAGAUCUAACAAGAAUGUGAUGAUGUUUGUGUAAGCAAUCUAUGAUUUUGAGUAGGAGGAUGUGUAAUAAUCAUAAGAAAGAUGACGAUACUUACUAAUUGAAGGAGAAAAGUCUUGGAGUAUGCCUUGAAGUUCUCGAAUUUGAGAGAGAAAGAUGAGAGAGUUUGGAGUGUGAUUCUUGGUGGAAAAAUGAGAGAAUGAAUGAAGUGUGAAGAGAGAGGGUGGAUGUUCCAGCUCUAAGAACGUGGGAAAUGGUUGGAAAUAAUGAGAAAGGACUUAUGAAGUGACUAGGGAUGGGCUGAUGGUGAAUAGUGACAUGGAGUGGGUAUGGGAGUGGUUGCUUGUGUCAUAGAAUAAAGGAAAGUCAACACUCCACCUCUUGUACUUCACCCACUCUUCUUGGAUAAGGUUUAUCCUUAAAAACGUGAUUAAUCAUUAAUUAAGGGGUCUUAUAUGUUAAAAUAAAGUUUUGAGUGAAAAUCCCACGUUAAAAUGAUGAAAAACGAAGUUAAAAUGAAGUCGUAGUCGAAAACCGGAAAGAAUUAAUCUUCCAGCGAGGCCUCUCGGAUUGGGUCGACGGUUCGGUCCUCCUGAGUCUAGGCGCGAGGCGACGCGAAGCGAUACAGCAAGAAGAGCAGGCUCGGUCCGAAGCAGUCAGAAGCGAAAAAGACCGAAGGCAUCAUGGAGCGAAAAUGGACCGAGGCUCGGGUUCGGGUCUUGUGCGAGGUUCGAGCCCGAGAGGACCCUUCGGGUUCGGUUCAGCAGCCUUCGAGUUCGGCUCAAAAGGGUUCGGUCCCUAAGAGGACUUUCGGCCCUAAGAGGGAUUUUGGGUCCUUAAGAGGGGUUUCAGGUCCUUAAGCCAAUUUUACUCGUUUUUACCCCGUUUCAAGCCAUUUUUGACCCGGUUAAGGGUCGGGAUGGCCCGAAUGACUUCAAAAAGUUACGGGAACUUUUGAGAAAGAUUUGGGAGAGAUUUCACAUUCUUGGAGAUAUUUGGGAGAGAUUUCUCAUACAAAGAGACAUUUGGGAGAGAUUUCACAUUCUUGGAGAGAUUUGGGAGAGAUUUCAUAUUCUUGGAGAGAUUUCUCAUACAAAGAGAGAUUUGGGAGAGAUUUCACAUUCUUGGAGAGAUUUGGGAGAGAUUUCAUAUUCUUGGAGAGAUUUCUCAUACAAAGAGAGUUUUGGGAGAGAUUUCUGAUAGAGAGAGAUAGAGUGAAAACGAUUGAGAGAGGUUUCGUGUGUGAUAAUUGUGAGUGUCCGGCUUUGCAAUGCAAGGUGCGUAAACCUUGUUAAGCCUUGUUUAAGGAUCUUACACACUCCCGAUGAGUAUGCAACAUUGUUUUAUCGGUUUGGCUCGUCACGUACCACAGUUUUUGGUUAAGGAGAUCUAGUUGUACGUACUUUUCGAUUAAUGAUCUCUCAUUAGAAUAGUGAGUUGUUUAGAAUUUACAUAACGUAAACUCUAGUACCCACGGGCAAAUUGAGUCGAACGGUUUGACUUGUUGACUUCAGUUGACUUUGACUUGACUGGAAAUUAACGGUUGUCACAACUUUACUUCAGCACUUGGCUUUUUCUUUGAUGUGACCUAAGUUUAAUUAUCAUUAAGUCUUAGUUUAUUUCUUAUGACUAAUUGUACUCUAGAUUCCUCAACAAUCCUAAUGUCUACAUCAAGAUCUAUCAAGUAUGGAACAACUAGGUAGGAUCAUAUUGGAGGUAGCGUCCAUUUGGUAUAUAAAGUAUACAGUUUGGAAAUCGCACUUUAAACGCCUCAUUAAAUCCAACCUAGAAAUUGUCUCCAUAAGUAGAUUGAUAUGUGUAUUUUUAUAUAUAUUUUUAUACACUUUAUCUUAAUAUUUUGGCCUUAUUUAUUCUAUUUUAGAACUAAAAAGUACUCAUAAUGCUUUGAAUUAUGUUUUGCAGCUAUUUGUUGCCGAUGAAGCACAAAAGAAAAGAUUGAAUCGGGAACCGGGCUUAGAAGCUAAAAGAAAUCAAAAUUGCUGAAAAAGUGAGUACGCCCCGCGUAAGGAAAUAGUACGCGCCGCGUACACCUUUGCACCGGAUAGACUUGAUCGCGUGAUUAUCUUGAGUACGCGCUGCGUAAUCCUAAGUACGCCCAGCGUACUUAGGUCGGCCACAAAGAUUAUAAAUAUCGAUUUUUAGCUAACCAGGAGGGAGGAUUCGACUUCUAACCUAAUUUAGUCGACAAUUAACUUCUGUUAAGCCGUUUUGAGGGUCUAGAAGGCGGCCGGAAGGCCGUUAAGCUAACGGGAGCGGAGAUCGGAAGGAUUGGAGAGCGGAUACAUGUUGAUUAUCAUAUGGUUUGCUGACGUGACCAUGUUUAGCAUUCUAUUGUGGUAUUUUUCUGUAUUUAGUUUCUGAUUUAGGUGUAAAAACCUUUUACUUUGUGUUUAUGAUUGAAUGAAGCUUUGAUUAUUAGACCAAUUGCUAUAUUAAAUAGUUUAUUUGUGUUUAAUUUAUCUUGCCAAGCUUGUUUAAAGAUCCUCAUGUGUUAAUGAUGAUUAUUUUCUGUUAAUUGUUAAGUGAAUUGAGUUGCUUGAACAUCUGCUUGAUUUGCUUGUCUCUUAUGAUUUUUGAUGACCAUCGAGAUUAUAAGACUAGAAAUAACGAAUGUGAAACUAGGAUUAACUUGAGAAUAAGUAAGUUAAUGUGUGAGCCUUGUUUGAUGACCAUCAACAAGAGGUUGAUUAAAUGUCUACAUUGAUUAACUAUAUUUACAAGUCUUGCUUGAUACGAACUGAACACUAGGAAGCAUGUUAGUUUAAUCAACUGAUCACUGUUUGAAUUGACUUGUUUGCUAAAGGAUUAGUUAUAGUGAACGCGAAUCUAAUCAUUUUAGGAAUCGGUGAACAUUGAAUAAAUGAAUUUGUGUAUGCAAUUGUCUAUGUUUUAAGGUGUAAUUUAUCUAAACCCAAGUACCUGAAGAGAUGUGCUUUCCUGUUAGUUUAUCGAGAGUUGUUAAUUGAUUUAUUAAACCAUUUUAUUAUUUUCGUGUAACCUGUAACCUAUAAUCAAAUAUAUUAAAUUAAUCCACCGUUCCCUGUGAUCGACACCCGACUUACCUAAGCUAUACUGUAAUCUGACUAGGUACACUGCCUAUAAGUGCAUAGAUAGUCUAAGUUUGUUAGGUUAUAAAUAUUAAAAUUAGUGGGUACUUUUGUGCACAUCAAGUUUUUGGCGCCGUUGCCGGGGAACGGCUUGUCAUUAAUUUAUUUUAUUUGAUUAUUCGUUAUUUGUUUUUAGUUAGUUUUUAUUUUUAGUUUUUAUUUUUAGUUUGAUUUUCGAUGAUAUCAUUUCACUUGUCGGGAAGGUUCUUGUUUUUAUUUUGCAGGAAUUUGGGAUUGUACACAUUGCUUGACUUUACUUUUUGCAUGGGUUUCGGGAAUGAAAGCGACUAGGGAAUUCUUGACCUGCUUAGCCUACUACUUUGUUGAUUUGUCCAACUCAAUCCAUGAGGCGUAGUAUAGCAAGGCGUAUUGUGGUGGUUAAGUGGAAGACCGAGCUCUUGCUGUUCUUGACUAGUUAGGUCACUUCUUGUUCCGCUUUUAGUUAAAGGUGCAAGGAAAACAAAGGAAAUAUUCUAACGGGUCCCGAAAGUGGGUGUUUUCGCAAACCAAUUCUUGCAUGCAAAGGUUUUUGAUCAACCAUUGUUGUUUGAUCUUGACAAAGAUAAGUGAUUAUGACAUCUCAAUUUUUUUUUUCACUCAUCGUGAAGUCAUCAUUAGCUUAAGAAAUUAAAAAGGAAAAAAAAUAAAUAAGUUUUAAGUCCCUAGAUUAAAUGUUUAAAAAGAAAAGGAAAUUCAAUUAAAAGAAAAAAAGAAAUUUUCAUAUAAACAUUACGCCCCGCGUAAGUUAUAUUACGCCAUGCGUAAUGAACCCCGAAUCGCGAAUGAACAUUUCAGGGGGAUGGGGUUACGCCCCGCGUACCCUUGUGUUACGCCCCGCGUACAUCAGCGACCAGGUAUAUCUCUUGACCCGUUGACUUCUUCUUUAUUCUUUUCACAUCUCCUCUCUCGCACACGAACUGUGACGGCCAAGAGCUCCUAAACAUUUUCGAUUGUGCUUCCUUUCUUGUAAAAUUCGACACACGGAUUAUGGCUCGAAGGGCGCAAAGAACCAACCCUCCCGAGGAUGUGACCGAUCAUCGCUUUUUACAAUUUCCGCAAACGCUGAACGAUGCUACCCGGGCGCGUUAUGUCACCAACUUGAGCUUGCUUCUCACAAAGGAGAUUGAUAUUGCACCCUCAUUCGACUGGGAGUUGGCUACCAGGACUGGACUUGAUGCAUUGAUCCAGGAAUUUUUGCAAUACACACACUCGGACGCGAGUGGUGUGGAAUUGUUUGUGUGUCAGGGAUGGGCGCGUUUGUUCAGGAUCCAGGAGCCUGUGUAUCGGGAGUUUUUGCUGGAGUUCUACGCUACAGUUUCCUAUGAUCCUAGGAAGCCACUCGAUGACAGGACAGCCUUUGCUUUCAGACUGGGAGGAGUGAGCCGGGAAUGCAGCGUGAUAGAGCUUGCUACUCGGGUGGGUAUUUACACAGCCGACGAGACGAGGAGUGUCCACUUCCUGGCAUUCCUUGCUGACUGUCUCACGGAACGGCCAGCGGACUAUAAUGAGAACACAUUUUGGGCCGAGAUUACGGGAGGAGUCUAUACACCAUCUACCGCUCGAGGGGGGAUGAUUCGGUCCACUACAUACCGAAUGUUGCACCGGUUGAUUUCUAUGUCUCUCACGCAUCACAAGAAUAGUGAGAGAGUGCCUUCGACAGACCUGUAUUUCCUAUGGGCACUAGUUACUCCAGGGAGGCACCUGAACCUUCCAGUUGCUUUAGCUGCAUACUUGGGACGGAGGGCCAGGGGACUUAGGGGAGAUAGCCCGAUAUGCGGAGGGCAUUUUAUCACACGGUUAGCUCGAUCAUACCAGUUGAUGACACGUGAGAUCACGAGAUCGAUGGUGUUUCACGACAUGAGGCCGAUGAGUCUUCAGCUAUUGGAGUCGAUGCGCGUAUUAGAGCGGGGUGGUGAUGGUGUUUUGAGAGUUCGAGCAGAUGAUGAGGCAGAUGAGGAGGGUGCUGCCGAGACGGGUCCAGCGGCGUCGACCUGCUCCUCGGGGAGCGCAGCAGGGACCUGAGCGGGAGAUUGAUAUGCGCUACCUGGCUCAGGGCAUUGAUCGUCUUAGCGAGUAUGUUGCACAUGUGGACAUGCAACAGCGGUGGUAUGGGAAUGCGUUGAACGCAUUCUUUGCCCAUCAGGGGUUUCAGUAUUCGGUUCCCUUUCCACCACCAUUCCAGUCACGAUUUGAUGGGGCCGGUACUUCUGGGACACAGCCACAUGAUGAUGGAGAUGACGAGUGAUCCUUUUUAUUUUGUUUUAUUUGUUUUGUGUUAUUUUUAGUUUAGUUUAGUUUUUAGUAUUUGGUAUGUAAUUAAACUUUGAUUUAGUUUGAUUUAGUUUGUUUUCCAUGUUGAUGCUCUUUGGUUGUUUAGAUUUCUGCAGAAUUUUCGCCCUUAGGAAGCUGGCAGUAAGUUCAGCAGCUAGGUCCGACUGUUGCUAGAGAGAGCGGUAUGAGAGUUGAAGAUUAUAGUCGAGACCCACGAUUUGUCAUAAGUGUGGGGUGCAUAUUUAUUUCGUGAGCGAUCGUUUUGAAGAUUGGCAUUGUUACGAUGUUUUGACUCUUAUGAUAUGGAUGAGCAGUUCCCAUACUAUAGAGUUUUAUUUCGACGCGAGGAAGAAGUAUCGUCCCGGCUGCCACGACAUGGUUGACACUUUCCUAUGUUAUGGGGGAUUUUUCAUCGCGAGUAGAGGAUGUCAUUCUUGACGAGACGACGUGGUCGACACUUUCCCACGUCAUGGUUACUAUGCUUUGCAUUUAUUUGCAAUAUUUUGCACCACAUUUUUGAAGAUGGCGGUCUUGAUUUUAUUUUUCGGCAAAUUCAGAGGCAGCAGUUCCAGUUUUCAGUCUUUCGGCGAUAUUUGAAGCAACUUGUAGCAGCCCCAUUCGAUCUCGCCACAACUACCCAGGGGAGUCUGUUCCUUUUUCUCCCUUUUUAUGUUCUUAAUUUGUUUUAGCAUACAAUGAGGGCAUUGUAUGAAAUAAGUGUGGGGUAGGGGAUCGGUAAAAGUAAAUUAAAAUUAAGAGAAAAAUGAAAUUGCUAGAAUUUGGAAAAUUUAAAAAUUUUAAAACUUGAAAUAAUAGUUUAAUUUAGAAAAAUCUAGUGAUAAUUUAAAUUUUGCUAAUAUUGUAUGAAAUGAUCCGAUGAGAACUCAAAUGUUUAGUUGAGCCAAUAUACGUUAUAGUGCAUUUGUGGCCUCCCUUAUUUUAGUGAAAUCAUGGAACAAAAACAUAACCCCGCUUGGUUUGAGGGAUGCAAUAUGUUUAGCAGCCUAAACCUGAAAUGUAUCCAGGAAAAUUAUUAUCAUUAACCAAUAAAGGUUGAGGUUGAGCGCCUCUGCUUAAGCAUGUAGGUUUUGAGUGAAAAAAAAAGAGAGGUGCAUGUAAAAAAAAAGAGAGAGAAUUACGAGUAAAGUUUGAAGAAUUUUGGAGCAAAUAAAGUGAAGAUCAAAAGAUCAAAAUUCUGAAGAAAUCCAAAAAGUUGAAGAUACCAGAAAUCAAAUCAAAUAAGGUGUUGAAUUCAAAGAAAUCAAAGAUCAAAAUGCCAAAGAAAUGAAGAAUUCAAAUAAAGCUCCAUAGUGGUAUCGGAAAUUUGUAAUUUUCUAGAAUAUGUAUGCUUAGGUUGCUCAACUAAAAAUACCUUGAGGUUAGGAGGUUUUCUGCGGAUGGAUUCGGAGGGUUGCAUAAAAUGAGCAUUGUUCGGAAAAAGUGGGCGAGUGUUUAUGAAGAUUGUGAGUAUUUAAAAUAUGGGGGGGUACUUUAGGAAAAUAUUAGACACAAAUGUACGCGUUGAGGUCUUGGCAUAAUGGCUGAGUUUUAAAUGGAUUGUUUAGUGCGAUAUUGGUAAAAUAAAAGUAAAUUUGCUUGGGGGCAAGCAAAGGCUAAGUGUGGGGUAUUUUGAUAUGUGUAUUUUUAUAUAUAUUUUUAUACACUUUAUCUUAAUAUUUUGGCCUUAUUUAUUCUAUUUUAGAACUAAAAAGUACUCAUAAUACUUUGAAUUAUGUUUUGCAGCUAUUUGUUGUCGAUAAAGCACAAAAGAAAAGACUGAAGCGGAAACCGGGCUUAGAAGCUAAAAGAAAGAAAAGAAUGCUGAGGUAGCGAGUACGCCCCGCGUACCUUAAGGUUACGCCCCGCGUACCUGCUUGUGCCAGAUAUACUUGAUCGCGUGAUUAUCUUGAGUACGCGCUGCGUAAUCCUAAGUACGCCCAGCGUACUUAGGUCGGCCACAAAGAUUAUAAAUAUCGAUUUUUAGCUAACCAGGAGGGAGGAUUCGACUUCUAACCUAAUUUAGUCGACAAUUAACUUCUGUUAAGCCGUUUUGAGGGUCUAGAAGGCGGCCGGAAGGCCGUUAAGCUAACGGGAGCGGAGAUCGGAAGGAUUGGAGAGCGGAUACAUGUCGAUUAUCAUAUGGUUUGCUGACGUGACCAUGUUUAGCAUUCUAUUGUGGUACUUUUCUGUAUUUAGUUUCUGAUUUAGGUGUAAAAACCUUUUACUUUGUGUUUAUGAUUGAAUGAAGCUUUGAUUAUUAGACUAAUUGCUAUAUUAAAUAGUUUAUUUGUGUUUAAUUUAUCUUGCCAAGCUUGUUUAAAGAUCCUCAUGUGUUAAUGAUGAUUAUUUUCUGUUAAUUGUUAAGUGAAUUGAGUUGCUUGAACAUCUGCUCGAUUGCUUGUCUCUUAUGAUUUUUGAUGACCAUCGAGAUUAUAAGACUAGAAAUAACGAAUGUGAAACUAGAAUUAAUUUGAGAAUAAGUAAGUUAAUGUGUGAGCCUUGUUUGAUGACCAUCAACAAGAGGUUGAUUAAAUGUCUACAUUGAUUAACUAUAUUUACAAGUCUUGCUUGAUACGAACUGAACACUAGGAAGCAUGUUAGUUUAAUCAACUGAUCACUGUUUGAAUUGACUUGUUUGCUAAAGGAUUAGUUAUAGUGAACGCGAAUCUAAUCAUUUUAGGAAUCGGUGAACAUUGAAUAAAUGAAUUUGUGUAUGCAAUUGUCUAUGUUUUAAGGUGUAAUUUAUCUAAACCCAAGUACCUGAAGAGAUGUGCUUUCCUGUUAGUUUAUCGAGAGUUGUUAAUUGAUUUAUUAAACCAUUUUAUUAUUUUCGUGUAACCUGUAACCUAUAAUCAAAUAUAUUAAAUUAAUCCAUCGUUCCCUGUGAUCGACACCCGACUUACCUAAGCUAUACUGUAAUCUGACUAGGUACACUGCCUAUAAGUGCAUAGAUAGUCUAAGUUUGUUAGGUUAUAAAUAUUAAAAUUAGUGGGUACUUUUGUGCACAUCAUAGAUCAAUCAGUAAUAUAAUGGUGGAUUUCUUGACAAAUCUUAUUUAUAAAUUCAUAACAACGACUAUGAAUUUAAAUAUAAAUUACACUAAAAUAAAAUAGAGUGUAAUUUAACUUAUAGAGAUUCCCUAGACAAAAGUCUGGAAAUUUCACUGGAAGAGCUUCUACUCGAUGGCUACUACUUGUAGGACACUUAGGGGUCACAUGGCUUUGUUGGUAUACUAGAAACUAAGGUAAAAUGGCUAUAAGUCAAAGAAUAUUAAGAUAGAGGGCUUGUAGGGGUGAGAUACGAAAAGCUUAUACGGAUGCGAGUAUAUAUAGCCAAAAAAAAUGUGCUCUGUGCACCCUGUUUGGGUGUGCCCCACACUAUAUCGGGGGUGGUGAUGUGGCGUUCAUCUAGUGGUUACACGUGUCAGGAUCUCAUGGGUCGUCACAUGCACGUCGUGCCUCUUGUCUUUGCACGCAACUGCGUAGAUUUUUAUAAAAUCUUAGAAAUCUCAUAUCUUCUUCAUAUUGGGUUCGUUUUCGAUGGGGUUUAUAUCCACAUGUAGCGAUUGAUGAGAUCUACAACUUUCAGUUAUACUUCUUAGGUAAGUUUUGACUUUAUUUUUAAAGUUAUAUUUGUAAUAGGCGUAGAGUUUUAAAUUCCAUUAAAAAUUAAAAACUUUGUUGUCUGACACCCGUUUUCGACUGUCUUUAUAUCGAAAAACUUUUAUUAAUGUGAUCUUCAAUUCUCGUUUAGAUUGUUUUAGCUAAAAAUCAACCAAUUUAAAAUUCGAUUUCCGUGCUAACACAGUUAUGCUAAAAUAUUGGAAAAGCCAUUACUUCUUCUCAAGAAGUCAAAUUUUGACGUUCACUAUAUGCACGCUCUUUGUUUUACGGUUACUACAACUUUCGUUUAGACCACUAAGGCUAAUAAGUGACCUAUCUCUAAUUGAGUAUUUACGACACUCGAUGUUGUAUCCGGUCGAACGCGAAACUUCAAUGAAUCGUAACUUCUUUGAGAUAUGUCGGAUUAGAGUGUUCUUUAUAUCUUUGGAAUUCUCGUCACGACUACUUUCUCUUUCAUUAAGGAUAUUGGCCUAAUUAUUCUUCUAUUUUAGAUGUGUAUUUUAUUCCUAUUUUAUUAUAUCGAUUUAAGAUGUAUCACUACUAGAAAAAUACAUUUUAAUAACACCCAUUGCGUGUUGUAAAAGGGUACAGAUGACACACAAAUGUGUGUCAAGGAAGGCCCUGUCAUAAACGAAGACGACACGCUUUUGCGUGUCGUAAACUUACGACGCGUAUUUACGACACGCAUUGCGUGUCAAGGAAGGCCUUUGUAUAAAGGAAUACGACAUGCAUUUGCGUGUCGUAACCUUACGACGUGCGUUUAGGACAUGCAUUGUGUAUCAUUAAAGCCCAUGUCAUAAAUGAAGAUGACAUGCAUCUGCGUGUUAUAAAUGAAAAUGACACACAUUUACGUGUCAUAAACUUCAACAACCAUUUACGAUAUACAUAUAUGACGUGCCUUUACGAUACUCAUUUACGCAUAGUACAAAAUAUAGAAACAAAUAUGUACCAAAACAAUCAAUUUAAUCCAAUAACAUCAUGCCAAAAAAUUAUAAUACAAUUAUAUUAAGGGGAUCUGCUUGUACAUUGUUAUUAAGAGGUUUUCCCUAACUAUAUAACUUUAUACUACAUUGCUAUUAAGGGGAACCUUCUUGUUUCAGAUAUCAUGUCAAAAAACAUUCUUUAUAUCAUUGGUUUGCCACAUGGUCUACUAGGCUACUGUCCACCGGGCGUGGAUGGCAAGUAAUGACUUGAACAUUAGCUAAAACAAAAAAGCUUUUAUUAAUCACACAAUCAAGUUUAGCUAUCUGAUAGAGUUGUUAUAUAAAUAUGUUAGUAACUAAUUUGAUCAGAUCAACAUAAGAUAUAACAAGUUGAAUAACAAUAUACUCUCUAUUCCUCCUGGAUUCGUGUUACUGCAUAUUUGUCCUCUAGAUGCCUUCUCUUUACUUCUAAGAAGAGCAACUAUCAUGGCCAUCACUUUUGCGUCAAAUAUCACAACACGCUUCAAUACAUCUAGAUGUAACAGGUUCGUAUGUGCAAACCUUAAAUGUAAAAAUUUAAUUAACAUAAGUACACUAUUUUAUGGACUACAAUACUAACAUUGAUCAUGCCUUAUUUAUCAACAAAAAGUGACGUUCAUAUUCAUUUCCUCCAAUACGCCUACAACAAUAAUAAUCAAUCAAUUGUACUCGGAUUUUAUAGAGCACAAAAAAAAAAGAAUUUUUAGAAUUAACUGAUGAUGAAUUUUCUCAACAUACACUAUAGACUAUUGAAAUAGACAUAUAAUAGAAAUAGGGGUUUUAGCUGAAAGAAAUUCUGCCAGGUCAACUACAACUAUCAUAGAGUUGUUUUCUUGUUUAAAGUGUAAACACACUUGCUGGAGUGUGCACAUAAUUUAUAAAUGAUAAUGUUGUAACUUGUAUGAUAUGUCUACAAUUAAUAGGAAAAAAAUAUGAGUAAAAUCAACAAUUUUUAAAAGGAUGAAUAAAUUAGGAGGUUACCAAUUUUUGAGUGUCACAUAGGAGACUACACCUUGUAUCAAAUAUCAACAAUAGGACAAUGGUUUGUGUGGAUGCAAAUUCUGAAAAGAAUAUUAUAAGAAAUAAUUGUAAACGAAAAUGAAUAUAAAAAAAUAACACCCAAAUGAAAUAAUUGAAUUAAUUGUAAACGAAAGUGAAAGUCAUAUGCAGAUGCAAAUCUUUCUAUAAGACGAAUGAAAAUUUCAUAAGUGGGUUGAUUCUUCCUUUGUCUAAAAAAAAUACCCAAAUCAAAAGCUAAAAAAGUUUACAAAAUUCGAUAAAUGCAUCAAACAGACGUUAAAUUAGAAUGAGAAUGGGACACCUGGUUUCAUUCUGCCAAACCAUCUAAGGAUCCAAACUCCAAAGUUUUUUGUAACCCUUUGUAAGCCGGUAAAGUUAAGUACUUUCAAACCUAUAUUACUUUUUCAUACCCAAUAAUAUUGGCAGCAACACUUCUACUGAUGACCUUGCAUCAAUCUUCAUUGCUUCGAAUCCACGUGGGUUGAAAUAUAAAUAAGAAUACAAAUAGAUUAUUUUAACUCUUCCACCAGGUAUGAAUAUAAUUAAUAAAGUUCCAUAUAUUACUACUGAUUUUUUUUAAUGUAUAUGGAAUAUGAACCAAGUUUAAGGGGGCAGAUAUGAAAUCCAUACUCCUUUUGAUUAGACUCAAAAUAAAAAACGGCCAAUUAGGUGUUCAAAGCCUUAGAAACUUACCUCAAAAACCAAGAAAGCUAUUCUAACAGAAGCGACCUAGCCAAUGCCCACUCGACUCCUUCACUUCUCUCUCGUGUAAAUCUAGUAGUUCUAAAUUUCUAAAUACAAAGGAGGAGGACAAAAUGAGUUCAAACACAACUUCAUAUAUAACAUAAAAAUAUUAGAAUUCACUGAAAACUUUUAGCAAACACCUGGUGGGGAAAUGUUUGAACAUGUAAUCAAACUUAUUGCACCUGAUGAUUGUGUUCCAGUAGCAAAAUCGGAAAAAAAAAUUGAUGCAAAAUUGAUUUUCGACAUAGAAUUGGACAAAGAUUCCAACUUUUUCAACAUUCGAGAAUCUUGAAGUGAAAAUAUGAAAACAUACCCCAUAAUUCUUGGAUUGUGUCCACAUCCUAAUCUCUUCAUUAUUGUCUUAUUGUAAAUUUUCCAAUCAUAUAUGACGUGGCAAUUGAAGCCUCAGAACAACAAUGAAGCAACAUAGUGAAAAAAUUACAUAUAACUCCUUUAUAGAUUUACUUUUACUUAAUUGUUUAUAUAAAAAUCACAUUAUUAAGAAAUUUCAAUGAAAUAAAGAAAAAAAAUCAUUUUUUCCAAACCAAACCCUAGAUUCCAAACGCACGUGGAUGUGUGUUAUUUUGCAUUAUCGACCAUGGAAGAUGCACCAACGAAUCAGAAAGUGAUUGGAAACCAAGAGUAGAAUAAAAGAAAUUGCAGAGAAAAAAAAGCCAUACCUACAUAGCAUAACCUGAAGAGUCAAAGAGAAGAACCCCCAAUGACUAAGCACAACUGUCAAUAGGAAGAGAGCACCAUAAUACCACAUAAACAGCAAAUCCCUUAUCGAUCUCGUACUAACCUUUUGAUUAAUAAAUAGUCAAAUCAAAAUGGUAAUAUUGGUCAUGGAGCUGGUGAUGUUUCUGGUGAUGGAGAUGCAUAAUCUCUCCGCUAAUCGCUGACUUCAGAGCGUCAUAAUCGUAUGUGAGAUCUGGAAGCGUAACCGUCCGCAGUCCAUGAAGCAUAAUCGUUAGAAUCGACCUAGGGUUCUCCCACAAUUGACUAGUAUUCGAAGAGACAUUGGUGGUAGGUCAUGGAAGCAUGGUUGUAGAACUCGCUACUCGGCACCUACUCGGCCGACUACCACGUAGCGAGUACUCGGGAGUACUCGGAUUUGGUAAUUCAUAUAGAAAUAGUUUUAGGGAAGUUAUAUAUGUCAAAAUCAUAAGUUAAAACCAUAAUUUGAAUGAAAUAUAUUACAAAAUUAGAUACAUGUGAAUACACAAAAACUAAAAAAACACACAAUGGUCCCACUUCGUGAAUAAUUAUUGAAAAUUUAAGAUAUAUAUGUAGUAAUAAUCACAUAUAUGUGUGUUAAAUAAUAAAUCAUUAAGUAUACUAUACAUAUUAAUCACCGAGUUGGCCGAGUUUUACAACAAUGCUCGCUUCAAUAAGGUGCAGAUCGAGGAGUACUCGGAUUUUGUAACUCACCUCAGUAAGGGGCUAGGUAGCGAGUACUCGGACGAGUACUCGGGAAAAUCGGUGAGUUUUACAACACUGCAUGGAAGAGAGAUUGUUGAUGGCGGGGUUUUCAAAUUUUCAAAUUUUUUAGGAAUUCCUUUUCCCACUGCUAUAGCUAUUAAAGAUGGAGAGAAUGUAGAGUUGAAUAGGGCAGCUAAAGAUGCGUGCGUUUCAUUAAAAAAAUAUAAAAUAACAUGAUUUCACGACAUGCUUUUUAUGAUAGGUUUCCUCCGUGUUUUUAUUUUUUUUGUUGUGACACUAAUUUUAGGGCACGCAAAAGUGUGAAUCCUAAAUCCUUCAAAUUUUGGGAGUGCUGACAUUGUUUUUAGGGCACACACUUUUGCGUAUCAUAAAACAGUGCGUGUCAUGGUUCGCGUGUCAUUAAAGGGUAUUUUUCUAAUAGUGAUAUACUACAUAUAAUAACGCAUAAACCACAUAAUACUCAAAUAAUUCUCUCUAUUUGUUAUUAUAAAGGGUUACAAUAGUUGAGUAUUACAAUUACAUAAUUUUAUUAAUGUCUAGCAAGAAACGCGAGCGUUACAAUCGGGUCAUAAUUUAUCAAGUCAUAAAGUUGGCCCAAAAAGAUAAAACUCCUAUUUUACCCUUUUGACCAAAAAUGCAUCUUUUGCUGAAUUUUUUCUUUUAAACCUGCUCAUCUAACAUCAUAUUAGUGACUUAAACUUAUAUUGGUCAUUUUCAUGAAGUUAUCACUUCAUAAUCUUAUAUUCUUCUGAUAAAUGACCAAAUUUCCCUUUCGGUCAAUAUUUGACUAAAAGUCAACUUUUGCUAAAUUUUAGGUUCUUACACCUAAGUCUUUCAUUUUGGAAACACUUUCCGAGUCAAGGAGAAAUGGUCUUCCAUAAUCGGAAUAUAAUUUACCAUAAUUAAGUAUGUCUUAUUCAUACAAGAUUAGGAAUAUCGCUAUACUCCCACUAGUUCUCAGUAAACACAAACAUUAUCUUCAUUUUGAUGUAAAACAUACUUUGUGUUUUCAUAAUUAGAAUCAUGAUUCCAAACGUGAGAUGUUUGCUUUAUAUCCAUACACUACUAAAAAACAGCCCUUUAAUGACGCACAAACAAUGACGCACAUUGGUUUAUGAUGCAUUUAUUGCAUGUCCUAAAAAUAAUGUUCGCUUUUGAAAAUUUGAAGGAUAGAGGACACGCAUUUGUGGGCGCCCUAAAAUUAUUGUCUAAUAAAUAAACUAGAAACACAAAGAGCACCCAUCAAAAACGCAUUUCGUGUAGACCUUGUCGUUUUAUAAUUUUCAAACACGCGUCCGGAUAUUAAUUCCUACCACAAAAUCGCUACCAGAUAGACACUCAACUCACCUCUCAUUUUUCUCCUUCGUCUCUCUCGUAAACACUAGUUUCUAUCAUCAAUGCUAUUCCCUCACCGGCAAUCUCAUCUAACACCUAUCUAUUCGUUCACUUUUCUAAUGGCGUCAUGAGAUCUAGAGAUCGAAGAAGGAGGCGAAGGCAUCAAUAAUUCGUAUGGUUAAUAUUAGCUUCAGGCAAUCUUUCAUGUUUGCCUCUUCCACCCAAAUCCUUCAAUGAUGGAGUCGCCAUACAUUUGGAUUCCGAUAACUAAAGCUCCACAAUAAGCCGUAGUACUAGUCAUUUCUUACUUCAACUUUAUCCUCCUUUAACCCUAGUUUUCUAUUUAGUUUUUUACAGCCUUUGCUUUGUCAUCACUUCCAUCUCCCAUGGUCACCUCUUUCUAUCUUCCAUCAUUGUCCCAAGAUGUCUUCAUUGUUCCUCCUGCGAUCUCUUCCAUCAGGUAAGUUGUCGGACCAUCUUAACUACUCAUUCUCGACUAUCUCUAUUCCCACUCUUUUUUUUUCUUGAAUUUUAUUCUAUGUUCUCCCUUUUCUUUUGAAUGAUGUUUCUAUGUUGAGAAAACUUCAAUUGAUUCCAUAAAUUAGAGUUGUUUAUGGGUUACACCCUCUUCCCGAGUCUCAAUUAACAAGGGAAGUGGAUGAAUUUUGGGAGGAUAUAACAAUAAUCUUUACUAUAUCUACUACUCUCUUCUUUCAAUAAAAAUUCAACUUUUGGAAGUCUUCGAUUGUAACAAAAAUAUCAGACACCAUUGUGUUGAACAAAAAUGGAUUGGUGCUUACCGAGGUAUUUUUAGGUUACACUAAACAUGAUUAUAUCUUACAUGAAACAACUCAUAAUCAUAAGUGUAUAUUUUGUUUAUGAUUUUAUCACUUUGUUUUUUAUUGGAUAACAUAAAAAGGAAACCUUGUGUUUGUAUGUAUUCUAAAAAUAUGAAAGGGAAGAGGGACAAACAUAGAAUGGGUUCUUGACUUUCUCAUAUAUCAAAGGCACUCAGCAGCAAUUUCUUUCUAUCAAUGUUACAAUGCUAUCAACGUUACAAUAUGUAUGUAUCCUUUUCUAACUUUUUUUUAAAGAUUUAAGAAUUUCAAAUCCAUGUAUCCAUAUUUAGUAAGCAAUAAGACAUGUGAUUUUGAAUGGGAUUGGAUUUGGCAUUCCAGAUUGUUUGGCCUGAAUGCGAUUAGCAGGUUGUUUCACUGACUAAUUUGAUCAGUAUUGCGAGUGUUAAAAAACACAUAGAAAGGAUACUCUAUGUAUCCAUCCUAAUAAAGUGCAACAAAAAGGAGCUACUCUUCAACAGAAACAUGUCGUCGAGAAGGUUCUCGACCUCCUUAAGGUACCCUACCCACUUUUUUCAAUUCUUACCCUAUUUUCUGAUGCUUCUAUUAUGAUUAGGAAUCAGGAUCAGGUAUAGGUAUAUAGCCUUUGGUAAUUCAAUAUCUUCUACUAAAAGUAAGACAAUUAAACCAUCUCUCCAUAUUUCAGAAAGUUAUUUUUAAUUAACAUGAAUGAUAAUUAACAAAAGUGAUAAAAGAGAACUUCUAGGUAACUUGUGGUUUAAUGUGGUUUGCCUUUUCUGAAUAAAGAUGAUCAUGACACGGGGACACCUACAAUUUCUUAUCUUGUUUUGUUUUUGGUUUGUUUAACAUGACUUCAUGCUUCUUUAGUAGCAGCAAGACAGCAACUGUAAAACUUUAUUUGAUCUAUACAUUACCUACUGAUAUUUCUUGUGAUGAAAACUAGUUGUGAUUAUUACAUCCAUGGUCUAGUUCUUGUUUUAUGGUCAAAUUUAUUGUUACUGUUGAUUUUUUUCAUACAGUCGGCCGUUUUAUUUAUUUAUUUAUUUAUUUACUGAGAUAAAAUUAAAUUUAUCAAAGUAUGAAGGUGUAGUCUGCAACAUAACUCCAGUUUUAUUGGAUUUUUUUUCUGCCAUGCAUUUGUGGACCUGAACCGGUUUUAGAACCAAACAGUGAUGCAAACAUUUGAACCGAAUGUUUGCACAGGUCUUGUUAGAAACUAAAAUUAUGUAUACGCUUGUUCUUUCUUUUAAAAAAAUUUAGCACACUUAUAAUAUCUACUGGAGGAUUCUAUUUGUUGUUUGUUUGAUUACUUUUGUAAGGUAUUAACCUGGUUCUAUUAAGAAAAAUGUGCAGUGGUAGAAGAAACAUGGAGAAACUGGAAAGAGGAAGAACAGGGGAAAAUGAAACGUCUCUACAAAAUCGCUUGAUUACUAAAAUUUAUUAAGAAACAUGAAUAAAAACUUAACAUCAAAAACGUUUACCCUAUUUAUACUACAUAAAACAAAAUCCCAAUCUAACUAAAAUACUUACAUUAUGACGGUUUUUCCUAAAAUGCCCCUGGGGCCAAUUUGUAAUAGAUUCUGAAUUAUCCUAAUAGCUUUUAUUAUAAUUUUAGCUAGUCUAAAGGAUACUCCUUUGGAGCUACUUUAACAGCGAGUGGAAAAUUAAUAUUGUAGUUUCAUAUAUUUUUUUCUACCACAAAUCCUCAUCAAGGGAAAAGUCGUCCAAUUCAAGGCAACUUUAUAGGAAACUUAAUCUUAUUGAUUUGGCAAGGUUAGAAAAAUAUUUCUAAUUAAUAUGCAUUAUAGUUUAUUUCCUUAAUAGAGGAAGUAUUUUAAUAUCAGUCAAAUAUCUAAUUAAUAUGAAUGGGAGUGGAAUGAAAUGUUGCUUUUUAUAGCAUGUUAAUCAAGUGGUUGAGCUUGAAAAGAAGUGUAAAACAAUAGUUGAAAAAGAGCUUCAUCAAAUUUUUAGAUAUUAAUUAGGUACAUGGAUAAAGCAUUCUACCCAAAUUGUUGAUUGUGUUUUUUAAUUAUAAGUAACUGAAAUAAACAAAUUUUGUUAACCAAAAUUUUAGCAUAUUUGAUGGCGUAAAACUAGAAGGAAAAAAAAAAGAGUAAGUAGUACUUAUAUGCUAAAAUCUCUAAAUGUAGUCAUCGUUAACAAUAACUCUAUCAUUUGUGUUAUAAAGUUCAUCUACAAAUCCUUUAAGAUUUCUCAUAUUUUCAUAUGCAUAAAGAUGUAGAAGUUUGUUAUCAACUUCAUCCUCCGUAAUUUCUAGCACCUGUGGAGGGUAUUCUGAGAAUAAAGCAUGUUAAUCAAGUUCGAUUGAUUUUCAAAUCUAUGAAGAAUACAAAAGUUGCACUCUAUAGUUGUUGUGAUAUUUUCAAUGCUGGUAAAUCUUGCAUGAAACGUGUUAGUUUACUUCGUUUUUAUUUAGUAAUUCAUAUUUCUUGUUAUUGAGGUUGAGAUAUGUUUAUUCAUUGCAUUCAUGCAAUAUAUUUCCACUUUUUAAGCAUGAUCAAUGUACUAAGUGGUGUUUUUUCUUUUUUUACAGAAUCGAAAUCUAAACUCAAAGAGGAAAUUUAUACACCCUGAGAGUAGAAAUGAAUUUGUGAAGGCUAAUUAUGUAAGAUCUUACAGACGAAGUUUAGAUAAUCCUGUAGUAUCACUUCGUUUAUCCAGGUUGUCACUUUUGUACUUUUGACUAAUGCACCAAGCACAUACUUGCCAUCCAUACCACCUAGUGGACAGCCUCCCAUGACACAAAGUUUAACAUUUUUAUCUUGUAAACCUGGUGGCAAACCAAUGACAGCAAGGAUUGUUUUGACAUGAUAUGUAAAACAUUCAAUAUAUUACAAUUAUUUAGCAUUUGAGAGAUUAUUUGUAUUUGAAAUAGUAUAUAAUAUGAAAUAUAUUGUCCUUUUUGUGUAUGAUAUGAUAUUUCGUAUGAUGGAACAUUAAUUGUCAUUUAAUUUGAAAAAAAUUGUAAAUCUAUUUAAAUAUAUAUUUUUGAAACAUUUAAAAUUAUGACAUGCAAAAAUGUGUGUUGUCUUCCGUUAUGGCAGAGGCUUCAACGAUAUGCAACGUGAGUCCUAAAUGCUCGUCAUAAGGUUACGACAACCAAAUGUGUUCCGUCUUCCUUUAUGAUAGGGCAUUCCUUGACACGGAAUGCAUGCCGUGGAUGCACAUCGUAAUUUUACGACAUGCAAAUGUGUGUCAUCUACCUUUAUGACAGGGCCUUCCGUAGCACACAUUUGUGUGUCAUCAGUGGGUUUUAUGACACACAAUGCAUGUCAUUAAACGGUGUUUAUGUACUAGUGAUAAAUGGAUUUUAAAUCUUGCACGCUUUGUUAGGAUAUAUUGGAUUAACAAAACCUUCAUGGCUCUAAGUCAUUUAUCAAAUUCUAAGUCUGAUAUAUAGUAUUUUAGUAGUUAAUGAGUUAGCCAGAAAUCAUCAAGAACGUCUUAUCAAUGAGAAAUUUCAUAUUUCUCAUGUUAUAGAUGAUUUAGACCAUAUAUACGAACAAUUUGUGUUUCUGAAUAACUAUUAUUUAUGUUCAAAAUUUUAUUGUUAAAACUAGUGUCAGCUCUUGCUACAUCAGGUUAUGGUUCUUGAUAUAGUUCAAGUUCCAUGUGCCUCCUACUUACUUUGUCAUUAGAAGCAUGCUUUCUGAUAGCUCAACUUUUAGAGGAAUAAGAAAACUUAUUCUUGGUGGUUUGUAUAAAUGUAAUGUCCUAAUUUUCACAAUAAAUUUUUGAAUUUUUUUUAAGUAAGAUACCAUACUUCAGAAAACCAUCCAUCAAAACCUAAUUGUUUCAAAAUCCAACAUCCAAAAAUCAAAGUAUCAAAUAACAAUGCAGAAUUCCAAAUUACAAAAGCUACUAAUGUAUGUGUAAAGUCACUCCAUCGCCUUCUCAUGAUCACCAGAAGUACCUAAAAGAAUUAAUCCACAACUGUAAGCCAAAACUUAGUGAGUUCCCCAAAAUACCACGUACAAAAAUAUACAUACAAUCAUAUAGGCAACGGAUCCGUACCAAUCCAAAAGGUAUCUAGGUUCACAAUAGUUUAGUUGAUCUUACCAUCAACUCAACCCUCAUGAAUGUCUAGGCUCACAACACUUAAUGAUGAUCUUGUCAUCAAUUCACCCCUCGUCCAUAAACAUCAUGUUGGUCCUCCUGCCUAUUGGCAAUCCGCACAAAGUUGGAUGCCUCAUCCCUUCACAAAUAUAUCAACAUAUGCAUAAUACAGAUAAGCAGACGACUCAUCAUUACAUUUAACAAUAUACAAGUCUACUUCCCUAACAACAUACAACAACACAAUCUCAUCAUGCAGAAAACUCAUACUGCACUCUACACUGAUAUUAGCAAAUCACCAAAUGAAUGCAUAAUUAUAUGUAAUCGGAGAUAAGAUAGACAGUCAAAUGGAUGAUCCUACCCGAAAGCCAUAACUAAACAAGUAACAAGCGAGAAGGCCUAGAUAGAGAGUUCUCAGGCAACCUCACUUGAGUACAUACAACCCCUACAACAUUCACUCAACGAUAACAAAUCUUAUCAACACUUUAACCAACAUACCAUUAGUCCGCUAUAUACUAUCAUACAAGAGCAUAUAGUCUAAUACUUAGUAUAGUACGGAAACUCACCUGCGCUAAACAACAUAACAGCUAAUGCAAGCAACCUAAUGACAAACCAUGACCAGUCCUUAGUCAAACAAUCAAAUCUACUCAAGUUUGACCAAAGGUUAAACUGGUCAAAAAGUCAAUGGUCAACCUUCCCACACCACCACGCCAUGACUAGCCCAUGGUCGCGUUAUGAUUGCUAAAUGAAAAAGCAUUCUCAUGGCCACUCAUCCCACCAUGGCAUGAAAACGCCUUUUCCAUUUCAUGGUUACGUCCAAAACAACUUACUUUAUUAAGCACUUAAUCCUUAAACUCUAAAGCUCAAAAGCUCAUAUCUAACGACUCUAAUGGUCUUAAUGGAUAAAGUUUCCAACUUUAUUGAUAUUUCCAUAUUUAGCUAUACAUUUUAUGGGGUAUUUUAGUGUUUUUAGCUACAUUAAAGAUAAAAGAUACGUAUUAUGUUUAAAAAAAUUUUAUAGCAGCGAAGAUAUGCUCAGGAUAAAAGGAUCGAAAAUGGGGAGUUGGAAGCGGGAUUGCUAAAAAGAGUAAAAAAAAAGUCAUAUCAUGGAUGAAUUAAGGUACCACAUCAUGGUCAUCAGGAUUUCCAUGACAUGGGGAAGGGUCUUGAUUCAAUAAACUCAUCUGAUAAAGUACAUGUCAGGAAUCUUGGAGGACACACGAAGGAAUCGAUACCAUGUCAUGGUCAUAUGUUCACCAGGGCGUGGUGGAGUAUUUUAAGGUAACUGUAAGUGUUUGACAUUCUCUCAUUAUCUAUCUUAUCAAAAAAGUAUCAUUUGAAUGCUGACGACCAGAGAACCCUUCUAGAGCCUUUGGAGAUCAUAGAUCGAUUGAGGAGCUAGAGUCGAAGAGAUCGAGAGCAUACCCACAAUUAAUCAUUCGAUUUGCUUUGUUCUAAUCAUAUUUUACAAAGUCUACUAUGUUUUUUAUUGUUCUUCUACUUUAGUUAUGGGCUAAAAACCCUUUGCUUUCAUUUAGAAUAGAUAAACCUUAAACCUAUGUGUUGUUUUUGAAGAUUUCAGAUUUAAUUUAGUCGUUUAUUUAUUAUGCUUACUUGAUAAAGAUUCAAUCUUUUCUACUUUCAUUUAGAGUAGAUAAACCUUAAACCUACAUUUUCUUAUUGUUCUUCAUGUGUUAAAGUUUCAAUCUUUUCUGUUUAUUGUUGAGUAUCAUUAGGUUUAGAUGAUCAAUCUAUCUUGAUGUGCUUGAAUCAUAUGAUUUUAUGAAUUAUAAAAUUGCUUGACUAGGGUUUGACCAAAAUCCUAGGGUUAAAUAGAAAAUUUGGCAACUUUAAUGCAUGAGAUUAUAUGUGAUGAUCAUACAUGUAUAGAUAAUUGGUGUCAUUAUCAUUACUAUCAAAUUAGAAUUCAAGUCUUUCUUAAUUCGAACUAAAGAUUGAUAUAUAUGAAUACUAGUUCACUUGAUCACUACAAUUGAUAGUCUUACUAAAAGAAAGGAUUAGUACUUUGAACAUUAUACUAGUCAUAUUAGGAAUUGGUAACAAUGAAAUUGAAUCCAUUGCACUAUAAUUAAAAUCAACCAUAUGGAACGAGUGAAUCAAAUCUAGACGGAAGUACUCUAUAUAUCUUGUUUUAAAAUCAUUAUUUUCUUUGUUUUUAGUUCAAAUAAUUGUUUGCUUUCUAGCUGUCUAAAAGUUGAUGUUAAGAAGUUUUAUGAACUUUAAAAUAAAAAAAUAAAAAAAACCCUCUUUUACAUUAUUUUUCUAGUUACUUAGUAUUAGAUACUAUAGUCUUAAAUCAUUCUCGUUUCCCAAGUGUCCAAUAAUCAGUAUUUACCAUCUUUAUAUUGUCAAACGAAUAGGCUCACUUGUCAAUUUGUGUAGCAGUUAGAGUUGUUAAUAAGUACAAUUUCAUAGGUAUAAACUAGUGUGAAAAUACACAUCAUUUAUACAUUAUCAUGUCUCAGAUGUACCUAAAAUCAAAACCUAACUUCAAAGUGAACCAAGACACAUGCUUGGCCUCAAGAGGAAGCAUGAAGACACACCUUUAUUCUAACACUCAAGUCUAGAAGUCACUUGGGUCACUUAAAUGGUUCAGGAGUUGCUCAACUCCAAAGAUAUCUGGGAAAAGGACUCAAAACCACCCAAAAGGUGCAUAAACUUAGAUCUAGAAAAAUCAAAGGUCAAGGUUUGAACUCCAUACCUCAAAUGACUCAAAAAUCUAAAGAAUAUGAUGGAUCUAAACUAGCUCUUGCUUCCUUGCACCAAGAUGGAGUUCCUUCUACCUCAUGUUUCAAAAAAUCAAGAGAAUAAGUUAAAAAACCAAGUAUGGUGGCUAGGGUUUGGGAGGUUAACUUUCUCAGAGGAUGGGGGCUACCAAACCAUCUAAGGUUUUGAACCCCAGCCACCACUAUGUCAUGGCUAACCCUCAACCACACCAUGUUCACUUAAAUGACAAAGCCAAUUAAUUGAUGUGGCUACUCCAUGGUGGUUCUCCAUUACCACAUUGCGGUCAGUCAAACUCCCAAAAACUUCAAGACGUAAAAUAAAAAAUGAAAAAGGAAAAUGCAUGAAAAAUGGAUGUUACAUUAAAAUGAUCUAAAUAGCCCAUUUAGAUUAUUCUACAAAUAUGUAUUUAGUAAAUCUUGAAUUUAAAAUCUUUUGUCUUACAUAGGUUUCAAAUCCUCAAAAAAUUAAGUAAUAUAUGGAUCACUUUCCAAACAAAAUCUUAUAAAGUAUUUCAUCAUUCUUUUUAGUUGGAGUUGCAUUCAAAAUACAAGUUAUAGUGAUUAAUGUAUAAUCCCAAAAGUAUAAACACUACUAGAAAAUACGUGUUUAAUGACACACAAACUAUGACACACACGUGAUAAAGAUACGCAAAAGUGGGUGCCGUAAAAAAUUGCCAUCUCUUAUAAAAUUUAAAGGAUAUACAAUAUGCAUUUUUGCAUGACAUAAAAUUAGGUGUCGUUUUAUAAUUUUUAUGUAGAUAAACGUUCUUAGUAGCUAGAGGUAAAAUGAAAUCCCAAAGUUAGAAAAGCCCGCUUGUUUUUUCUUAACCAUGUUUUCGUUAUCAUGACCUAAAAUUAGGUCUUCACAGUUCAGAUAUCUCCAAGGAAUCCUCUCACUUUAAGCGCCAAUGAUUCAUGAUUAUGUGAUUCCUCGCUCACCUUCUUCUCUCUCUUCAUCAUUUCCAUCUCCUUCUAUCUUGGUUCAUGUCUUCACAAAGUUGACGAAAAGAACUAGGCAUUUGAACCACAUCUCAAUAAAUUGUUCAGAGACAUCCAGUGGCUCCUCUCACUCAAAAAAUCAUCGAUUGAGGGUUAUGUGACUCCUUACUCUCCUCAUUCUCUCCUUUCCGUUGUCGGAUGUCGCCGUCUCCUUCUAUCUUUGCCCUUCUACUUCUCCCCUAAAAAUUCUCAAAAGUAAUAAUAAAGGUAUUUGGUUUAGCAUUUUGAUUUUGAUUCUUCAUGUGAAUCUAUUCCCAUUAAAACCCAAUGCAUAUUUCAAAUUCGAUAUGGACAACCUUCCUGUAAGAGUUCUAUCGUAUUUAUAGUUUAUAUAUUUUCCUCUAUCAGCAGGCUCCACAAGAAUGAAAUCAUUUCCAGGUGUCAAGGUAAACAUUUUUUUAAUAUAGUACUAAUUGUAAAAAUAAGUACAUAUGAUAUCAUAACGAGAGUGACAUCAGUUUUUGGCUAUAUUAUUAUUAAGUUUGAUUAUAAAUUUAUUUAUGUUAUGUUAUUGAGAGGUUUUAAUGAAUGUUGUAGGAAUACAUGUUGAGAGCAGAGUUUAGACUUUCGAGUAUUACAGCUAAAGAAGCAGUACUUGAGAGAAAGGCUCAUAUUCGCAUCAAGUUUGAGAUACCUUAUUUUACAAUUUCAGGAAUAAGGUAACUCCUUGUGCAAUUUAUAUUGGAUCAUCGUCAUAUUUUAUUAAAGUGAAGAUGGUUUUGGUUUUUGUAGGUGCGUUACCUGAAGAUCAUUAAACAAACAUUUUGAGUUAUUGGUAUGUUUUCCAGUGAGCAAGAAGAGUUACUCUUCAAACCUUUAGUUGUUGGAACUUUAAUGGGGUUAAUGAAAAAUGAAGAAAUCUAAAUUUAUUGUCGUUUUUUGGUUUUAGUUGAAAGAAGAAGAUGCGAUUAGUUAUGAAGUCGUUUCAAAAGCAAUAUGAGAAGCUUUCUGAUUUGAAGCACCAAAACAUAAGGUAAUUACAUUUAUAUUUUUACCUGGAAAUGUUUUAUGUUCUUGGUAAUUGACAAACUGAUUCAUCGUAAACUGUAAGUAGUAUACUAUCUCCCUAUUCGUGUGAUUAGGUUACUAGAUUCAUUGGUUGUAUUUGGAUUCUUUGCUCUAUUUUCAAGUAUUACUAGAAAUACUUGUUUUUAUAUAUAUAUAUAUANNNNNNNNNNNNNNNNNNNNNNNNNNNNNNNNNNNNNNNNNNNNNNNNNNNNNNNNNNNNNNNNNNUAUAUAUGAUAAGUGUCAUCUUCCAUUAAUGCAAACAUUUUUCAAACCGUAUAUAAACUCAAGAUUUGUUGAGCUUUUAUAUCAUAACUAACAGCUUCAAAUUAAUUUAUUAUCCGCUGAUUUUGUUUUUUUAAAGUUGACUUGGGUUGUAUUUACCAUUUUACCCUUUUCCUUCCUUAUAUUUACAAUUUUAAACGAGUUAAUUGUUUGCUUGUUUCUGUUUAAGUGAGUUAUUGAUAUACACUUCAUUUUAUCAGGUGCAUUAUGUUAUUAAAAUAUAUAUAAACAAGAGUUUUUGUUGAGCGGAGCUAAAUUACAACAGGUAUGUUUUACAGUGAAUUACAACAAGUAACUCUUGAAAAUUGUUAUAAAAAAAGAUUGGUUUCAAACAAACAUUAUAGAAGGUUAAUUAAUUCUCUUCUCUUUUUUGUUUUAGUUUUUAGUCUUUACAAUUACCUUUUCAUUUCUUGUAUAUUUAUAUUAUGGAAAUAUUAAGUUAUACAUUUAUUCACUUUUCCAGCAAAGGCACAAAAAAUGAGGAUGAUGAUGAUUUUGAUGUAUCUUUGUUUCUAUAAUGGUCUUUAUGUGUUCUGUUAUCUACUAUUCCUUUUGAUCAUGAUGCCUUGGUUAUUUCUUGUCUUAUGUGAACAAAUUUUCCUUUUGAACAUGAUGCCUUGGUUAUCCAUGACUUUAUUUGUUUAUAUAUUCUACAUGUUCCAGACAGAGGAUAAAUAUGGUAAUUUUUGUCUCGAGUGAGCUUCAUUUUUGUGGUAUAAUGCAAAGUGUAGAAUAUCAACUUCCUAACCUUAUUGUUUGAUCUAUUAUAGGAUAGAGAUGCCUUCUUUAAAUACUAUAUGUACAAUCACACAAGAAGCUUUGAGAGCUUGGGUUUACGUUCACCCCACUUCUCUCGAGUCUUCUUUAUUUACAGAAACUGUUGUAGGAGUUGUUAUUUUUUGGUCAUCCUCAGUUACUUUUAUAAACUUAAUAGAAAUUACUAAACUGAUACAUCACAAUUUUUUGGAUAAUGGAAUUAUUGAAUGUGAUUCAGUUUGAAUAUUAGUGGAUUUAUUAAUUUAUUGUAAGAAAUGGAUUGUUUUGUUAUAGACGUAUUUUAUUUUAUAUUAUGAUACAUUAACUGUCAUUUAAUUUGAAAACUAAUAAAUCUAUAAUUUUAUUUAAAACACUUAAAAAUUAUGACACACAAAAAUGUAUGUCAUCUUCCUUUAUAACAGAGGCUUCCUUAACAAGCAAUGCAUGUUGUGAGUGCGUGUCAUAAAUGUGCAUCGUAAGGUUAGGACACACAAAUGUAUGUCGUCUUCCUUUAUGACAGGGACUUCAUUGACAUGCAUUUGUGUGUCGUCUGUACCUUUUAUGACAUGCAAUGCGUGUCAUUAAAGAGUAUUUUUCUAGUAGUGAAAGGAAAAUAAUUUAUGUCGAUUAAAAGGUAAACCAUAACUUGCAAGGUCCAGUUCAUCCUUUAUUAUCUUUAAGAAUUUAGAUGGUUCUGCUUAUUUGUUACUCAACUUCAUAUUUGAAAACUUCAAAAGGUCUCACGUUUAUCAUUUAUCAUAUAAAAUAUAAUUACGACAACUAUAGUUAUUUAUUAAGUUAAUAAGGUAUCAUGUAUUAAAUCAAGACCUUCAUUAGAAAGGAAGUUAAACAUCACAGUGUAUAGUUUCUUACUAAUUAUUUUCUCUACUAUAUAGUGAGAAUAUCUUUAUUAAUAUUUUAUAUAUAAAUAAGUCUGUUAAAUAAUUCAUAUUUAUUUUCCAUCAAAAGUCCAUUAUCUUGACGUGGGAAUAUGUGUAUUUUAUUUAUAUAAUAAAGAUAACAAUGGAUAAGUUUGAUUCAAAUCAUAUUUAAGUGUAGGUGUUUUCUUAUAGAACUUAUAUUUAUAAAAUAUUGAUAUUUACUUUAUAACUCCAUUAAGAGAUCUAAUUCUUGAAAUAAGAAUUAAUCAUUACAGAAUAUAAAUGUGAUCGUUAUGAAAAACGAUUAAGUAAUAGUGAAUCAUCUAAUCAAAUAACUAAGACAUAUAUUUAGACAAGCUAAAUUCAAACAUACAUUGUUUAAAACAAAUAUCAUUUUACAAUACAGGUACUUUAUGAUCAGAACAUAAAUAAUGAAGUCUAAGAGUGAAGUUCCAACUUGCUUGUUCUCAGCUGCUUACUCUUCUUGAAUAUCAGUAGACAUUUAACAAUAUUAGAUUAACAUUAAGUAUCAAAUACUUGUGUGAUAAUUGAAAAGUGUAAGUUCUAUCUUAUAGAUACCUCAAGUGCACACAGUGGUCAUAGAACACUCUUCUCUCAUCUCACUUGAUCUUGAAACAUUUCAUUCAAGAGAGCAAUCAUGUCAUGUGGUGAAAGAUAUUACAAUCCUCUCUGAUAGCGUAGAAACAUAGAUUCAAACAUAAUACAUGCUACAUCGACUAUGUGAUAUCCCCAAAAUCUCGGCCAGAAAAGACCGAUUUUCAUUUAUGCUUUUAAAAUAAUUUCAGAGUAAAUCCUUUUGAUUUGAAAGAGUUGUGGAAUUUGUUCCCAAAAACAAAACGUGAUAAAACAAUGUUUACCUAAGCAUUUCAUAAAAGAAAUGUAUUUUCAUUAUAUAAUCAAAACUCGGGAUGUCAUGUUCCGAUACAGACCAUAAAGCAUAAACGAUAACAUUACAAGUCAUUCAACAAAUAUAUACAAAUACAGACUUGUAAACAAAACAACUUGAUGGUUCAUCCAUCUUAUGCCCUUGCGCCACUUCCUGUAAUACAAAUAAAUUGAGUGGGUCAGGCUUGGGAGCCUGGUGAGCAUAUAGGGUUUUCAACCCACAAUAAAUAAUUAUAUUUAAUUUCCACCAACCAACAAUAACCCAAUUACCCAUUCCCGUUAUUCUCACUUUACGUCCCUAAGACAACUAACAUAAGGGACCUAGUCUAAGAAUAUUUCAUCGGGGCGACAACACAUGCUUCGGGGGUUCCUCAGCAAUAUAAGUCAAAUAAGGCAACCAUGAGGGGGAUGGAGUACAGCGAAUGAACACCCAAGUUCAUUAACACCUACAGGUUAUGAGCCUGCUAGCGUUCCACUGGACUGUCUAGAAAAGUCCGUGGUCGUCAUCUAAAUUCCGCUAGAUGACUGGAUCAAAACAACAUCGAGGCCUCUCAUCUGUUUAUUACACACCAACUAUCUACCCAUGUUCUACCCAACAUAUUAGUAGAUAAAAUAUACAUUUUUAUACAUAGUUUUAAAACCUGUAUAGCAUGCUCAAUCAAUACAUUUUCCACAUAACAGAUGAGGCACACACACAUAACACGUAUUUCAUAGAGAAUAAAUCAGAUCUAUAAGAUAGAAGAAAGUGAAUAUACAUUCACACAUAUAACAACAAAAUAUACACAUAACACGUAUUUUGUAUAAAAUACUUCAUAAUUAUGCGUUAGAAGAAAGUAACUACACACUCACUUGAUCAGAAGAUGAUCGGACAACACUACGACUUGUAGAAGUAGUAUUCUUCGGCAGAUCUGGAAGAUCUUCACAAAAACCGGACUCCUCGCGGGCAGAGCUUCGGCUCGGGAAUCUUACUUCUCGGGAUCUUCGGGACCUCGGGACUUGCUUCGGGGCUCGGGAAUGAUACCGGGGCUUCGGGAUAAUUCUUGCACGAAAAACGAUGCAAAAACGCGAGAAAAAGGGAAGAAAUGAGCAAACAACUCGGUUGCCCUCGACCUCCUUUUAUAGGGGCUGGAACUUCAAAUUACGCUGGGCGUAAUAUGAAAUUACGCUGGGCGUAAUGACGAUAAGGUCGCUGACUCCCCCAAGGAUAAUAUCGGUUAAUAUAUAUUUAAAUUAAAUAUCGAAAAUAUUUAAUAAACUUCAAAAAUUCAUAUCUUCCUCAUACGAACUCCGUUUUCGACGUUCUUUAUAUCCACGCGUAGGUGAGACUACGAUCUACAACUUUCGUUUAGACUCCGUCGGCUAAUUUUGACUUUAUUUUUAUUAUUUAUUUUUAGUAGGCCGGGACAGGAAAACUCCGUUAUAAAAUCAUAACUUCUUCAUCCGACGUCCGUUUUCGCCUAUCUUUUUAUCGUUUUACUACAAUUAACGAGAUCUUCGAUUCUCAUUUAGAUUGUUUCGGCUAAAAACCGCUCGGUCUCAAAUCGAGUAUUCGGGCUGCAUACCGCUAAGUCGAAACUUCGAAAAAUCAUAACUUCCUCAUACGAAGUCAGAUUUGGGCGUUCUUUUUAUGCACGCUCUCGGUUUAACGAACUCUACGACUUUCGUUUAGAUAACUAAGGCUAAAUAUUGCUCUAACGUAAAUUUCACUUUUUACGUCAUUCAGCGUUGUCGGUUCUGUCGCGAAACUUCGACAGGUCAUAACUUCUUCGUUAUAUCUCGGAUUUCGGCAUUCUUUAUAUCUUCGAAAUCCUUGUUUCGACCACUACAUCUUUAUGCAAAGAUAUUGGGCUUAUCUCACACUUCAAUUUUGACGCUUAGUUUUAUCAUUUAUUAAUUAUAUCUUUAUAAUUAAGUAAUAAGCACACAAAUACACAUAAUUCACAUAAUACUCAAAUAUUUCAUCAUUAAUACUCCAAAAAGAGUUACAAGGAUUAACCUAGACUAUUACAUCAAUGAUAAUGCCUAGCCUGGAAACGCGGGCGUUACAGACUAAAUCAUCAAAAUGUUUCAACCAUGUUUUAUGGCCAUCUAUAGAUGUGAGAGUGUGUUCUUUGAAAAGUUGGUGGACAAGAAAUUGCAAAUUCUUUUCGCGACUGAGAAACUUUCUCAACCUUGAUGCCAAGAGAUGAUGCUCAUAAUGAAAAGUUUUUCCUUCUUACGAAUGAAACGUUGGUUAUAGAUUUUCAGGAUGUUUUCUUUUUUAUCCAUCGGCAAAAUUUUAACAAAAUUUAUUUAGUACUUUUCAAUAUUUAAAACUUCAAUAAUUAAUUCCUUUUAAGUUUCUAAAACAUUAGGUAUCAAAAUCUAGGAUCAAAGUUACAAAACAGAUAAAUGGUUAGGUAUCCUUCAUCUCAUUUAUUUAAUUUAACUAGCUAGAUAUCAAGUAUAAAUUAUAUUUUAAUAUAUAAUUCCUAGCAUUAUGGGAUCGCAAACAACUUUUGUAAAUGAAAUGUUUGAUCUCAUUUAUGUCUCAUAUCUCUCUUGCUUAGGUAUCUUUUUUCACAAAGGAUUUCGGAUCAAAUCAUCCAAAUUGAAAGCCAUGUAAAACAGACACAUAAAUAGUAGUUAGGUAACCUUUAUCCCACUAGAAAAUCCGGAACUACCUUAACCAUCAAGAGAUAAAACAAGUGGUAAGGUGACCUUUUUCCCACAAGCUUAUACAAGUGUUGUUGCUUAUACAAGUAUUGUUUGAGUGUAUCCAAAGUGGACGACAUAUACUUGCAAUUAUAAGGGGUCUAUGUAUGUUUUUAUAAUUCCAGUUUAAGAAAUAUAUGAUAUCAUGAUUAUUGCAUGCAUCCAAUAAGUCAUGGUGCCCUUUGAUUAAAAUCACAUUUUAUAGCAAUGUCCUUUUAUAUAAUCCAAUUUAAUAUAAUUGACGUGAUCGAAUUUUAAAUAUAAUAUUUCGUAUUAAGUUUUAACAUUUGAGCGCUAAGUAACAUUAUAAACCUUUUAACAAAACUUCCAUUUAUAAUAUAAGGUUUGGAAUUUGACAAGUUUCUAAAAUCCCAAUUUUAAACUUAUAAAAUUUUAAUCGUGGAAAUUUUUCGUUAGCUAGUUUUAAACGAGUAUCUCAUUUUAUUUUUAAAACCUUUUUACCAUCUUAUGUUAAAACACAAAUUUCAUUAAAACCAAACUCCAUGUGAUCAUUUUAUGUUUAAAAAAUUUUGUAGCAUUUUAAAAUGUAAUUUUACAAACAUGCAUAAUAUACCAUAAAAUCAAACAUUACAAAGCAUAAAAAAUAUGUGCACAAACAAACCAUAAACUAAUGACAUUUUAUGAGCCAUCACAAAAAUGCUUGUUCCAUUUCUAAGGGAUAUAAAGGGACCAAAUUCCCUUAUGAUGUCUUCAUGCCCCUAUUUGCUUAACAUCUUCUAGAAAGUUCAUAAAUAUAAUUUUAUAAACUUUAUAAAACUUUAAUAAAACUAAGUGCAUGAACUUCUGAUAUUUGAAAUGGUCACCAUCUUCAUUUUUUGUUAUAUUUUUAUAAAAAUUAACUAUUCUAAAUAAUCAUUACCCACAAAAUUAAAAAAAAAAACGAAAAAUAUAUAUUUAACUAUAACAUACCAUAUAAAUAAAUAAAUAUUACAAUCAUUUUAACAAAUCAACACAAGUAAUAUCACAGAUAUUCAAUGACUAGUUUAUGUACAUCAUAUACAUAUAUAUAUAUAUAUAUAUAUAUNUAUAUAUAUAUAUAUAAAAAACACAACACUUUGUUUUUCUAAUACAACUUUUAUGACUAAAAAGAUGCAUGUAAGCUUCUAGUCAUAAAAAUAACAAUUACAAAUAUUUUAAAGUUUUCAUAGAAAAUAUGUAUGAAAUUUUGUUAUAAAAAUAAAAGCAUCCGUGUUUUCUAAAAAAAUGUAUGCCAAAUAAUCUAAUAAUCUAUUCAAGCUUGCAAAAAAUAAAUCUGAUACCAAUUGUUGCGUUUUAUUCAAAAACGUUUUCAAAAAAACGCUAAAAGCAGCAAGGGAAGCAUUAAAACUUAAAUAAUUAUAAAACAGUUUCAUACCCACCAAGAAUCAUUUUGAAAUCAUGGAAUGAUUAAAAUAACAAUAGAAGGAAAAAUAACUACAACCUUUAAAGACUUUGAAUCCUCAGGAGGUUGGAAGUUGAUGAAGAUGACAAAGACUCAAAGUAGAGCUUCUCUACAAGUAUCAACCAAUAAUUACCAACUUGACUUUGAUGCUAGUCCUUCUUGUAAAUUAAGUUCUUAAUCCUUUAAGAACAAAAGCCUAUCUUUUUUCUUAAAGGAGAGUUUAAAAGUAUCAAUCUUUUUACAAGUCUUAACCUUUUAAGAGAGAAAUGAGAAGAGAGGAAUGGGGAUAUGGUUUUUCUCUCGCCAAAAGCAACCUCAUGAAAUAAAACCGUUCUCUUAUUUAUGUGUAUAUUAUGUCUUAACUCUUUUAAGACUCCAUAUUCUUUUAUGACAAGUUAUAGAACACCUUUACAAGUAUGGCAUGUCAUAUAAUGGACAAAGAAGCAAGAAACCAUUUGUUCCCACCCUUAGUGUGUCCUCUGUUUGUAAAAAGAAAAUAGAGAAGGUGUGUGUGAUGAGAAAGAGUAACACUCUUUCAAAUUUUAUAAAUCUAGUUUAUUAUUAUUAAAAACCAAAUCCCUUUUAGUUUAUAUAAAAACAUAUGACCUUUAUAAAUCAUACCAUGUGACUUUAUUUGAUACUUAUUAUAGAAAAUUAUUAUUUUCAUAAAAUACUCAUUUUCCAAUUAAUUACAAGAAAUAUAAAUAUUUAUCAAGAAUCAAAUUCUUAUAAAUAUUUAGUUUACGUCAAAUUAUUAUUAGUGUGUCCCUAUGUGAUCAUAUGUUAUUAGAAAAUAUCAUUAUUUAAUGACUCUUGGGCAUAUAAAUCUUUCAACAACAUACAUCAUAGAUGUUCGUUUGUAGUUUUGACGGUGAUUUGGCAUUUUCUAACCAUAUGCUUUCUUAAAUCCUAUUUCAAGGAUCUUUAUUUAUUUAUUUUUUUGAGUUUGUUCUUAUGUUUUUAAUGUUAUCUAGUUAAUCAUCAUAUUGUUAUCCAAUCAAUGGAUAGUUAAAUUCCAUCUCCAAUGAUGGAGUUUAGGUGAUAUGAACCUUAAUCAUAUGUUUGAGUUGUAUAUUGUACUCUAGCCUCUAGUCAUAGAAUUAAGUUCAAAAUUAGAUUUAAUGAGAUUAUCGGUGUAAUAUCCCGAUUUUCAAUACAAAUUUUUUAUUUUUAUUUAUUCAAAUAUACCAGAGUAUAAUUACAUUAUGCAGAAAACAUGAUGUGAAUGUGCAUGUGUAUAGUCGAGCCUUGCCCUUCUCACCAACCGAGAAAGUACCCGCCAACAUUUAUAAUCAAGUGGGUAAGCACAAAGCUUAUUGAGUUCCCCAAAAUACCAUAUACCACAAUAUAUAUACAAUGUAUACACAUAAUGGCUAACGAACUUUCGCCGAUCCACCAAUAAUACAAAUAAUGGCCUUGAACAUAAAGUUGGUCCGCCCCUUUGCCUUCAGCAUAAAGUUGGUCUGCUCCUUGGCCUUCAAAAUAAAGUUGGUCCACCCAAGUAUAUUGGCCUUCACCAUGAAGCUAGUCUGACCUGAACUCCCCACAUAAUAUAUAAAUACAUAUAUAGCAAAAAAAGAAUUCAACAUACAUGCAAUGAACUAAACUAGCUUAGUGACAUGAGUGCAUAUUAUAGAGCAACUACAUCCUAACAUACUGAGGACACAUACUAAAGUAUACAGUAUAGUGUGAAAACUCACUAAGACAAUUACUCUGACGAUUGUCAGUUAUCCUUCGGUAACACAACUAUCAAGUAUUAACAUAUAAUACUAUAACUUAUUAAUAUAUAUAUAUAUAUANNNNNNNNNNNNNNNNNNNNNNNNNNNNNNNNNNNNNNNNNNNNNNNNNNNNNNNUAAGAUUCUGCACAAAUUCCAAAUAUAUUUUCAUGGCUAUCAAAUAAGGAUCAGUCGGGCAGGACAUAUGGGAGACAAGACCAUUUUGACAUAUUGCUUUCCUGAAAUACAACAACCAAGACAACGUGCCUAUUCUAGACACCUUUCCUGUAAGUAGACCAAUCAUAAUACUUAACUAGAACUAAUGACUAAUUAGAUACUUAUAGGUUCCUAAUAACAACUAUAACAUAAUUCUAUGAAAAUUACAAUGUAAGAGACCAUGUAAAAUUCAUAACUUCUUCAUACAAACUAUGUUCUCAAUGUUAUUUUUAUCGACGGAUUGGUACAUACAAGAUCUUCAACUGUCGUUUACAUUGUUUUGGUUAACACUCAACCGAUCUUAAUUAUCGAUUUCAGUGUCGCGCACUACCGUACGAAAACUUCAAAAAAUCAUAACUUCCUCAUACGAAGUCAAAUUUACGCGUUCUUUAUAUGCAUGAUUUCGCUUUUAAGACUACCAAAAAUUUUGUUUCCAUUACUUAAGCUAAUAAGCAACCUCUCACCGAUUUACCUUUUGAGCCAUGUUUUUGGCAUAUAGGGUUGAACACGAAACUUCGAAGAAUCAUAAGUUCUUCAUAUGAAGACAGAUUUAAGUGUUCUCUAUAUCUCUCUCUCUCUCUAUAUAUAUAUAUAUAUAUAUAUAUAUANUAUAUAUAUAUAUAUAUAUAUACACACAAAAAAAUCUUAUUGACGUCUACUACACGUUUAUGAUGAUUAUUUUGUCUAAAAAGUAAUAUAUUUCUACUUCAUAUUUUAUAAACAAACAUUUUAUAUUAAAUCCUACUGAAGGGUGAAAACAGGGUGUUACAAUUGCAUUAUUCCAUGAAAGAAUUGUAAAGUAAUUAGUGAUUCUAAUGGAAAUUCUCCAUUAGGAUGGUGUAAAUGUGUUAAAAUCAAUUCGUAUAAAAAAAGAACCUUUUGUAAACACUUAAAAAAGAUAAACAAUUUCAAAAAAUGAAGUAUUAGGAGUUUUAAAAGUUAUUUGAUGAUUUAAACGAAUUUAUAAAGGUUUUUAUAAAAAAAAUCCCCACAACUUCAGAAUUGCAAUGUGAAACAUAUGUUAAGGAUGGAAUCACCAACUCCAAACUUUUAAUACUUGUGUUAUUGAGUCAUUAUGAUGUUUAUUAAGUGUUUGAAGCUCACUUAGAGCUAAUUAGUUAGUUGGAAUGGAGAUGAACCAAGUUAGAAGCUAUUAAGAGCUUUUGAGCAAAAAUUGGUGUUUGAUGCAUACAUGUACUUCUUUAUAUCUCUUAUGAAAUUAAAUUGACUUAAUCAUUAAUUCAUUGUGAUUACAGGAAUUAAGUGAUAUAAAAAUAAUGUUAUUUGAACUUAUUUAAGCCAUAUAUGAAAUUUGUAGAGCAAAGUACACUGUUUAAAUUAUAAAAUUGUUUUCUAGAAUGAGCUAUUUGUUAUAUGGCCCUGUAAUCUCAAGGAAAAAUAUUACACGGUCGUGUAAUGAACUAUACGUUCCUAAAAGAUUUCAAAACCUUAACCACUUAGCUUUUGACCUUCACUUGUUUCAAACUUCCAUACAAGGUUAAAACAAGUUGAUUAGGAGGUAUUUUGGUAAUUUUUCAAGAUAAUAAAUCGUUUCUUUCAAAAUAACAUUUCCUUGUAUCACAAAUCAUUUCCAAAACCAUUUCAUAAUAGUGGUGAUAUAGUUAAGAGAUUUGGAUAAGUGCGUCAAAUAAUCAUGCAAAUGCAUAUGAAACUAACCGAAACUUAAUCCAUUAUUCUCAUAUAAGUCUCUUUCAACUAGGGCCUUAGUGGCCUAGAUUAGGUAGUAGCACAACACUAAACCUAUUGUCGACCAUUAAGGUCAAAAUUUUAGGAAAUUUAUGAACAUCCCAUGAAUGAACAAGGAAUGGGUUGGGAUAUUACAUCACCAUUACCUCUAAGGUCAAAUAAUGUAGUUGAUCCCUUUAUGUUCCCGAACACUCACAACUCAGCUCAUCUUAGCAUGCAAUGCACAAGUAGGAUGCUAUAAAAGUUUACUCAGUACCAAAGAACCAAUUUAUUUUAUCCAAAAUCAUUUUUCAUGCUAUGCACAAAAUGUCAUAAGGCCACAUAACGAUAAAGGUAUAUAUAUAUAUAUAUCAUACUCAAAACAUUUCAAAUAAGUGAUAAGAUACAUAUAUUAUGGGUAUGUACUCACCUCAAUAGCUUAUGAUGCUACUACCUGAUCUAGGCUACUAAGGCCCUAGUUGAAAGAGACUUAUAUGAGAAUAAUGGAUUAGGUUUCAGUUAGUUUAAUAUGCAUUUUCACGAUUGUUUGAUGCACUUGUCCAAAACUCUUAACUAUAUCACUAUUAUUAUGAAAUGAUUUUGAAAGUGAUUUGUGACACAAGGAAAUGUUAUUUUCAAAGAAACGAUUUAUUAUCUUGAAUCUUUUUUUUUCAAAUGUUUCUUUUUGAAAUCUAGAUUUGGAAAUUAGGUUAAUUCCAUACCCAUUUUCAUUCUGUAGUCGAAUUCAGGUAUGACUUAAUAGGCUCUCCAAGCUUAACAUAUUAUUUUAACAUGUACUUGUAGGUCUUUGGUUUAGCUUUUUGGAUAUUUAGACGGCCAUGACAUGUAUGGUUCAAUUUAUACUAUUUUCAUGAUAUUAGAUGUAACUCUAUCAUACUUCAGAUUGACUAAAAUUUGUGUUUUAUGUUUUGGGACCACACUCUAAAUAUCUUCGUAUAUUUUUUUUUGUUUAAAAGAGUGGUUUUCAAAAAAAAAUUUGAAUAUUGUAUUUAAACGAAGACUUUCCCCAUACUCAAAGAUGUUUUUGUCUCUUCCAUAACAUCAAUGUGUGGAUAAAAGUUAAAUCAAGAUAAUAGCAUAGAAAAGAAAUGACUUCAUUUUCUUCUCCAACAACAUAAAUUAGUUCUUAAUUUUAUGAGGCAAUAAUAGAUAGAUAAAUGAAGAUGAACAACAUUUUAUUUGGGUAGGUUGAAUCAACACUUGAAAAAUAAGAAAAAUUCACCAUAAAAUUUUCCUUUCACUAUAUCACUAUACAUAUGAAAGAACAGAAUCUUCCUUUACAUAAUGAAAUAUUCUAAGCUAACUAUCAUUUAUCAUUUUGGAACAUUUUUUCUCCAAUAAUGAUAGACAAUUUCAUAUAUCUAACAUUUAGGGUAUUGUUGGUACUAUGUUUGACAAUGACGAUGGAGUAUUAUUCGUCUACAAUGAAUUACGUUGGAGGAGUUAUGUGAUGGUAGAAUGAAAACGGAUGGUGAUGCGACAAUUGGGGAUAGAGAUGAGGAUGAGGUUGAAAAUGAAAAUUAAAAUUAGGACGACGAUGGUCUUAUUUAAACAUGUUUUAAACGUUAGGGUCUAAUUUAAAAAUUUUGAACUCUAGGCGAUCAUAAUACAUAAGAUAGAGCGGCCUAAUGUCUAAAUGAAUACAUUUACAAAAAUUUGAAAUCUAACUUAAUACUUUUUAAGCUUUCAAGACUAAAUGGUGACAUUACUACUGAAUCAUUAAUCCAAAUAUAGCUCAUUACAAAACCAAACCUAAAAUUUUUUAGGUUACAUUGCAUAUUAAUUUAUAUAUAGAUUAAUUUUGAGUUCCUUUAGGAACAGUGAAGUUUUGCUGGUUAGGACUUUAGCUACAGAAGUUUUGAAUAUUGACAGUUUACCUCCUUUGGCUUUUGGUAAUAUCAUUUUUGCCAUAAAGAUUUUAAUAUUCGCUUUUGCCCCGAUAUUUUGCCUCAACAUUUGACUGGAUGUGUCGGUGUGGUGGACACAUGUUAUUCCAUGUGUUCUUCACUGGCUCACGUCCUAUACCUCCAUUGUGGUUAGUUAAUCCGUAUUGACUCUAGAUGCUUCCCACCGCCUCUUAACCCACUAAAAUAAUCUCAUUCUUCCACCGUUCCUUCCAGUAUUCUCUUAUUUUCUCCCAAACAAAUUCAUUCCUUAAAUAAGCCUCUCCACAUGUUGGUCAUCCUCGAACAACUGUUUAGUGUUUCUCUAGGUUUUUUCGGUUAUUUCCGGUGAAGUCAACAACUCGAUGACCAAUGUCUCUCAUCAUCUUUGCAUGUGUACAAUUGGUGAGUUAAAAUUAUGCAAUACAAGCCAUUUAUUUUUAUUUUUCUGUAUCCUUCGAUCCAGGUAAAUCGAACAUACAAUUGUUCAAUACCUUUUAAACAAACAGGAGCCAAUUUUUCUUUCUAUUUGGACUCAUUCUAAUUGCAUGCCCUACUAACCUCUCUAUCUGCCAUUCUAGUGAUUCCUUUGAUUAAAAUCAUGUUUUCCUUCAUGUUCAUCGUUUUCAGUUGAAUCUUGUGAUUUCUUUGAUUAAAAUCAUGUUUUCCUUCAUGUUCAUCGUUUUCAGUUGAAUCUUGUGAUUUCUUUGAUUAAAAUCAUGUUUUCCUUCGUGUUCAUCGUUUUCAGUUGAAGAUUAGGUUUUCCUGAUUGGCUUCUAAUAAAACUCAAAGAUGGACCGGUGACUCUUGUGACAACCUGAAAAUUUUUGCUUUAUAAGUAAAGUCAACCUUAAGUCAGACUCGCUCCUACUAUCUUUUAGCACUGUUUAGAGUCUGUUUGAGUGUUUUAAGCCUAGUACAUUCAAGGAAUGAGUGUUAGGAAGUCCUUUUAGAUUCAUUGUACAACAUUUAAGCCCUAAACUGUAUCAUGUGGAGUUUACGGCCGUAAACAUGGAGUUUACGGCCGUAAACUCAACCAUGGUCGUAAACCCCUCUUAUAUAUAUAAGAGGGCACUUCAUUUCUUCAUUCUUUUCUUUCCUUGGCCGAAAUCUCCUCAAACACUCUCAAGUAUCAUCAAUUCCAUCAUCCAAAUCCUCCAAAAAUGUAAGUGUUCUUCCAUCUAGUUGUUGUUAUCCUUCUUAAACAUGUAUCAUUCUUUGAUUCAUCCAUGAAAACACCCCUUUUUGUCUAGAUCUUCAAAUCUUCAUCUUUCACCAAGAACACCAAGAACACAUACGUGCUCUUGGUGGCCGAAAACACCUUCUAAGGCUUCUAAAUUGUGAGUAUUCCUUCCAUACACUUGUUAUCUAGUAGAAUCAUUAGCCUAAAUACCUAGAUCAAACAAUUGGUGGAUGAUUCCCAGGAGUUUAUGUCCGUAAACUCAUGUGGCCGUGAACCCCCGGGCCGUGAACACUCUGACCGUAAACUCCCUGAUUGUAAACUCUAGGGCCGUGAACACCCUUGUGUGGUUGUACACUCCCCUUAGAUGAAUCACAUGUGAUUCUAACACUUGGUUCAAGUGUUUCCUAGUCCUUAAAGGCGUUUCCUUGCAUGUGGCUGCUUCUAAACACUAUAUUCAUGCCAUUAUAUGUCAUUUAGGACUCGUAUGUGCCUCGGGACUUCACUAGUGGAGCUUCUCAUCCUUAGAAACAUAUUCGUUUGAAUCACCCACAUCAGGUGAGUUCAUACCCUGUAAUGAAUCUUUUAACUAUUUUAAAUGCUUUGAAGGGGGGAUACAAGUUGAACACAAUGAUAAUUGUGUAAAUGUUUGUUAUAAACAUCUUUCAAAAGAUUGUUUUUGUAGUUUAUAAUUGAUCAAAACAUUUCAAAAACUCUUUUAAAGUUAUGUUACUUUUAGGAUAACAAAACUCCAUUCUUAAAGUACAACCAUAACUUAGUAGUAAAAUGAGUCUUUUUGAUAACAGUUCAAGUAAAACACUAGUAAGCUAUAAGGGGUACAGUUUAGAGGUUCAUUUCUUACUAGAUACAAUACACGAUAACAUAAGAGAUCACACAAUAAAGAGAAAU